GAAAGGAGUUGCCGUACUGGAACGACACGGGGAAGCUGGGCUCAAUGGACUUGCCGUCGUUGACGAGGCAGUCGUUGAUGCCGAGGCGGCGGAACUUGGCCGGGUCGAUGACAUCAUUUGAGGCGAAGUCGCCGCAUGCGACAUGGACGUCGCACACGAGACAUUCCAUGCAUGUGUUGGUGAACUCCACGCUGUAGGCCGGUAUGCCGCCCGCCAUGCUCGGCGCGUUGAUCUGGUACACCUCCAGGAGAUCCUUUGAGCACUCCUCCAGCUCCAACGGCUCCGCCGAGCGCCCUCCGCCGCCGCUCGAUGACAUGGAAGGUGCACUGACGCUGAGCAUCUUGCGCAUCUGAUGCCGAGGCAGCUGCAGCUGCAGCGAGGAAGAUGCUGAUGCUAGCAAAAACAAGAAGCAAAACUAGUGAGCCAAAAGAUGAUGAAUUAACAUGCAGUUCUAUAUAUACGUACGUAAGGUACAUACCUUGACUGCCUUCAUAGCAAGCCUGGAGCAGAAGCAUGGUGACGACGACCACAACAGCAGCACUUGGACGCGUCUGAAAGCACGCCAUGGCCGGCGGCCUUCGUGUUCUCACUCCUGAGCGACGUGAGCGUGGAUGGCGUAGUUGGUUCUUCUCCUCUUCGGCCCUGCUAGCCUGACUUACCACUAGGCGUGCCUACUUAUACUACCAGUGGCUUCUCCAUCCAGACCUAAAUUGUAUCUCAGUGUAUUUAUACUAUGAUCAAUAAAUAAAAUGUGUUUAGAUUAAAAAAACUUAAUACUACUAGUGGUGAAGUCCCACCCCUUCUUUUUUUAACCUGGUGAGUACCACACCACUAGUACUCGUAGCAAGUUCCCUUGCAAAUUAAACGCCGGCACAGCUGGUACACGUCGAGCCGCAAUUUAAUUAGGGCCUCUCUGAUUCGUGGACUUGUAAACCAUAGGAAUGAAGUGGCAUGGCAUCCUCGAUUACUACAACAGGCCGGACUAGUUUGGUUGUUUGAUCGUGGGAAGAAAAAAAAUAUAGGAUUCUUCACAUAGGGUUUUAGCCCUUAAACACACUUACUUCCUCUGUCCGGUGAAAAGUGUAUAUUUGAGUUUAAAAUUUGUUCACAAAAGAGUGUAUUUCUAUCUUCGCAAUGCACUUUAGAGUAAAAAAAAAUAUUUUUCUCUCAUCACACGGUAAUCAAGACCAAUAACAUUAUACACAUGGUCUUCUUAAUUUCUAUAUGCACUUAUAGUAGCUCAUUGGGGGUUGGGUAAUUAAAGAUGAGAGAAAUGAUGACUUGCACCUUUUCAAUCCAUUUUUACUCCACUUUAUAAUUUGUCCUAAAAUUUCUAUAUGUACACUUUUCACCGGACGGAGUAGGAUAAAACACAAUAUUCUACUAGAGAUGCUCUUAAACACACUCCAUUAGCCCUUAGAUAUAGGAUUUCUUCACAUGAAGUUUUGUGGGAACAACUAGAGAUGCUCUUGGCAUGACAUCUUCAAAAACUACAAUAUGAUUUGUAUGGUCGUUUGAUUGCGUACGGGAAAACCGUAGAAUUCUUCACAUGUGGUUGUAGCGCUUAAACACACUUAGGAUGAAACGUAGAAUUCUACAAGAGAUGCUCUUAAACACACUCCCUUAAACGUAAGAUUCUUCACAUGAGGUUUUUGAGGGAACAAUUGGAGAUGCUCUUAGACUAUUAGCUGGCAUCUGUUACUAUUUUCUGUUACUAGUAAUUCGAUAGUGGGUAGUGUCACAUGUAUAAUAACAUAGAAGCCUUUACUUAUUAUUUUAUAGUUAUUUUCUUUUAAGAAAAGAGACAUUUUUUGGUGAAAAGAAUUAUGUAACGAUAACAUAUUAAAUUACACACUCUAGACCGGUUUGUUAGUUGGGAGAACCAACUAAGCGCGACCAAGGUUAUCCUUUAAUUAUGUAAUUAAUGCCUUGAUCCCUUAAAAUAGCCAACUACCAUGCAAGUCUAUCCUUCAAUUGCGAUGAUUAAAUUGCCUACACCCUCCGUACCGGUGCAUUGUCACAGUGGGGAGUAACUUAGAGUAGUAACAUGCAUAUGUUACCAGUCUAUGUUACUACCUCCACAGUGGGUAGUAACGUAUGUGUUGUGUCAAUGCAUCACUUCAUUUAGACUCAUCUUUUUUUGAUAUGUGUGAUGUUACAGUAGCUAGCUAUGUUACCACAUGCCUCUCUUUUUUCAUUAAUUACAUGCCACAUCAUCUAUUUUGCCUAGAUAAGUGUGAUGUUACCACCUAUAUUACUCCCACUAUGGGUAAUCUUAGUCAUCUUAGGUUAUGCACCGCGACCAAGACGGAGGAGAAAACGCGCGAGAGAAUUUAAUGUUUUAUGUGCUAAUUAAUAUCAUUACAUGCAAUGAAAUGACCAAUGCAUGCCAUGGUAGGUAGUCUCAAGCCACUGAAAGCAUACAUGCCCUACAUCUUUUAUUGAUUGAUUCCUUUAUUCAUGUCAAAAAACAAGAAACAAGCUAAGAGUUAAUGCACCACGCCUAUGGAUGUGUUUGUUUACUUUCUAAGCAGGGCUUGGUUGAGAGGAGAAAAACGAGACAGGCUGAGUGGAGACAGGUUGAGGAAAUAUAGGGUAAAAUACGACUUUGUGUGUUGUUUGGUUGCUUGCAUAUAGGGUCUUAUCAUGACACCUGAUAUUUGGUUGCAUACAUGCAUGAUAAUUAGGUGUUAACAAUUACACUUAACAGAGAGAUUACAAUAAUAGAACACACACGUUCUUCGACCGCAGAAAGUGUUGGUUUUUAAACCGUAGAUCAAAUCACGCAGGAGCUGUGUAUAGGCACGUACAAGCUAGCGAGCAGGCACACUGCUUGAUCGAUGAACAGUGCCUGUGCACGUCUCGUCGUACGGUGCGUGUCGACGGAACGGUCUUGCUCUCGAGGUAAACUUUGCGAACGAAAGUACUUGAGCGAAACUGAUUUUUGCGAUGCGUAACUCUGGCACCUUUUCAGAUUCUCUCUUGCAUACAUAAAGGGAUACAGGCGCCCCGUUCAACACGUCGCCCCAUUCGGCGACCAACACGACAAAGACCCGGACUCGUACAAUCACUUGUCAGGUUUGCUAAUGUGAAUACUAAGGGUGUGUUUGUUCGGGCUGCAACUUCUCCGGCUGCAGCUGCAACGGCUCUCGUUGGAAGGAGCAGCUGUAGCUGCCAGCUGCGGCUGGAAGGUUGAAGCUGAGAUGCAGUCAUUUGGUAGUUGAUGCUGUAUUAGGUGCGGCUGAUGCUGAAACAUGCUGAAAUGACCAUAAUGCCUUUUGUUUUUCUGUAGAUCGAGUUUAAGUGCCGAAUAUACUUUUUAAUAGUAAAUGACUUGAUUAAACGUUGUUCUUGGGUUAUGAAAUCAUGGUUAGGAUGAAAUACAAUCCUACUCUCUCUCGCUCCAAUCAUAAAAGGAACAAUCCUAUUACGAGUUGUGCCCAUGCCACUGUUUCCACCAUUUCCCUUGUGUUAACCACAUGGACCGAAGGAUAACAGUUAUCAACAUCGUUGCAUUGAGCAAAGCAGUUCAUACAAAUCAUUGUCACUAGUACUAGUAUCAGUUUGCAAAUCGAGCAUUGACAAGUACUACUACGAAUUUGCAAAUCUAGAGAAGUUCACUACUACAAGCACGUUCUGCAACCGAAUGAGACAGUACAGUUCACUGGUAGACUACAUGAAACAAGUAAACUCAUUAAGCUACGCGUGAAGACGGCCAACCAGCUAUGUCACAUGGCGCAAGCUGAUUGGCCGCGGUGAGAAAUCUUUUGGAAAACAUUAGAUGAAUGUGUGGAUUAUUUUUUAAAUGUAUUUUUAGAUGGAGGUGAGGACCUCUGGUAUUUUUCAGAUGGUGGGUUAUGCAAAGUGGCACUCACUGGUAGGCUGUGGUGGUAAUUUACUUUUUUUUUAAAUGAAGAUGAAGAUUUUUUUUAGAUGUUUUUUUAGACAGAGGCGAGAACUCUAUGUAUUUUACAUUCUUAAGAAGUUGAUCCCCACUACAAAGCAUUCUCUCAACAUGCACGUAGUCCACAUCAGCAUGCAUGUCAUGUCAUCAAUUCAAUUACAAUUAUAACGUACAGAGCAGAGUGAAAGCACGACGUUCUGUAUCCAGCCCCCAUCCAUUUCUAGACGUAAAUCACAUCCUUAGAACAAAGCGAACCAGUGGUUUGAGAACUUCCGUGAUGAUGUAUCCCGUGCUGUAACCGGCGAUCUUGCUGUGUCUUAAAUGAAAUACGAGUGUUCCCUUAAAAAAAAGAACAAAACGAAACGCAGGACAUUUCAUUAACACUCAACCGUUUCCAGGCGCAAACCGCGGACUCCUCUAUCUCCCCGGAAAUAAAUAAAACGACGACCCCUCACUACCUCCAACACCAAUCUUUUCCGGACGUGGAGUUUCUACACCUGAGUUCAUAUGCUCCUGCUAUGAACAGUAAAAUAAAUAAAAUAGAAAAUAUUCCAAAAAAUUCUGAAAUUUUUUGUGGCAUACUUUAAGAAAUGUUUGUUAUGCAUGCAAAAUUUUGUCAUGAAAUGACAUUGGUGGAAGCAGGCAUGGUAAAAAAACAAAAACGAUACUCUGAAAAUGUCACUUUCAAACGCAUUUUGAAGCUCUGAUUUUGGUUUUUUUUGCGACGACCUCCACCAAUGUGAUUUCGUGAUGAAAUUUUGCAUGCACAACAAACAUUUCUUAAAGUAUGCCACAAAAAAUUUCAGAAUUUUUUGAAAUGUUUUUCUAUUUUAUUUAUUUUACUAUUCAUAGCAGGAGCAUACGAGCUCAGGUGUAGAAAGGUACUUUCAAUCUUUUCCCCUCUACUAGAUGACCGGUUACGCCAAAUGGCGCAAAGACCCGUUUAAAACCAUGUUCGUGUUGAAAGUAUUCGCAUUUUUUCAACCCGUAUAUUUGAGUACAUUUGGUAAGAACUUGUACCCCUAUAUAUAAAGAAAACUAAAUGCAAAUAUUUUCUUAAGGUAAUAAUGCCACAAAUUAGAUCAUCGGUAGGUCAAGAUAGUUGAGUCUACAAUUAGAAACUCCGAGUAGCUAUAAACUUGCAUUAAAAAAAGAGUAAACAACACAAGUGACACAAUAAAAUGUACUUAAUACAUGAACUCGUGAACAUUGUAUACAAGAGAAGUUAAUAGAAAUAGUGGUCAAUUACAUCAUAUAGUUUGGUCAUAUACUUUUGUGUAUAUAUCGUGAAUGCUACCCCUUUGUGAUCAACUCUUUGUCCUUCGAAUCAAAUGGCACAACUACUGCCCCUUGUGGAAAAAGAAAGGACUAUGUAAUACUCAUAAAUGUAAAAGGAAAACAUCAUGUGGUGCAUCUCAACCUGCGCAAAACAAUGAAAAACAGUACAUGCUAUCUACAUACUCUCAUUGUCUAGCAAAGCAUAAGUAGCUGACGGACCCUGUACAAAAGAAAUGACAAUUAGCAAGAAAGAAGCAUGCCAUCAGCUGUCUACACAACCAUAAAUCAAUAAGUGGCAAAAGCCCCAUCAGAAUUAGCAUUUGCCAUCCAGUUUAUGAGCUAAAGUUGAGCAUUCACCAGUCAAUAAAACAUAUUAAGCAUCAGCUAUAAAACAAACUCUAUUUUGCCAUCCAGUUUAUGAGCUAAAGUGGAAAGCUAUGGUCACAAAUGCAUAAAUAAGCAAUAUAGAAAAUUAGUUAAACAUAUUAUGUUUUUCCCUUGAAUACCUGAAGGAGCCCGCAAACUCAACAAUCCACACCAUGCAUAUAAUAUCUCAAGUAAAAUUCUUUAGGAAAUUCACAGCACACUUCAACCCACUUGAUUUAUACACAUGAACUUAAUGGGAUAUGAGCAUUUACACACAACAAAUCAUGGUUAAUGUGGAACUAAAGCGACAAAUUGAGACAAUCAAAAUCUUACCUUAAUGAAUAAGCCGGGCAAGGAGGAGACUUCAGGGCAACCACUUGUGGACUCUGAACAACAGAAUGACCAUAUUAAUUAAAUAUCACAUUCAGCAUACCCUCAAAUCGACUGAUGUAGGUUAUUGGUCUAAUCUGCAAAAAGAAAAGCUAACAGGGGCUCUUCUCCUUGUGCUAAUACAUACCGAAUUGGAAGGUUGACUUGCCUAAAGUACUGCCCAGCGACAGCAGGCAUAGCACUGACCCAAACAUGUAGUUACAGCUAAUCAAAAGAGGAGAGCAGCAGGAAGGAAGAAGGAACCUGCGGACGUGUGGGUUGUAAAGAACCAUCUCUGGCCCAGCGCGAUGUGAACGAUGACCAGCUGUUCCUUCCGGUGACCCUCUCCCGUCCGCUGCCGCACAUCCCUCUCCUCUUUAUCCAACGCGGUAUUAGUAUAUGACUAUAUAUAUAUAUAUAUAUAUAUAUAUACACCAAAUUAGACUUAGGACAUAAAAUGGGCCAGAGUCCAUAUUAAAGGUCACCUAAUUAAACUCCUAGAGAUUGUAUAGAAAACAAAACUACUGACUACUCUGAUUCAGAGGGAAAAAAUACAGUCGGUACAAUAUGGAAACGAUUUUUGCAGAGUUAGCAGAAUUUCAUUGCCACAAAUUAGUGGACGACCAGAGUGUUUGCCGAUUUACAUAGUUUAGUGCCACAAAUCAUUAACUCCUUUUGUCGUUUUGCCGAUCUCUACUCCGUGGCGCUAGGGUUUGCCGCGGGAGAGGUCGAGGCAGAGGCAAAUUGUUUUACUUUUCAGCAUAUAUAUACGAUCAUACGGUAGUCACACAUAUAAGCAGCACCACAAAAAGAAACAUACAAACACGACACCCGAAAAAAGCAGAAAACAAAAACACGACAAUAAGCAUUAAACAAAUAGGGUAGAAAAGUGCAGCCCUUAGGGAGGAAGGACAAGGACAAACCUUGACCAAAGGAACAGAGAAGGAGCAACCUCGAUGAUUCUUGAGCCUGCAAAAUAAAAGGAAAUAAAGGUUAGCCAAACAAGCCAGUCUAUUCUAUACAUAACACAACAACAAAUCAAAGACAACCUAGCUUUACAUGGCAGAAAUUUUAAGCAAGAGAAAAAUUAUAUAAUAUGAUAUCUAACUCUAUGAAUACAUUAGGAAAUACCUAACACAACAACAAAUCAAAGACAACCUAGCUUUACAUGGAAUAAAUUUCAAGUAAGGGAAAACAUAUAUAAUAUGAUAUCUAACUGUAUGAAUACAUUAGGAAAUACCACUUCCAAAUUAGAGUGCACCAUCCCCAAAACUGGAGGUCUCAAUAUUCAGAAACCACACAUCAUGAUAAUCAGUUGUUGUGCAUAUCCAGUUGAUCAUAACUCACUAGGGCAACCACCUGAGAUCAUCGUUGUUCUCGCACUUUCGGUAGAAGGCAUACCUAAGACGAAAUUAAAACAACAAAGAAUCAGACUUUACAGUAAAGUUUACAUGCAGCAGUAUCAAUAAAAGUUCUUUUGUUCUUUACCUUUGGUAGAAGAGGCAACUGUCUGAGGCUGCCCUAGCAUGAGGUCGAACUGUCGACUGCAGAACUGAAGCGCUAUUGAAAGUAACCACACCACCUGCUCAGUGUACAAAUAACCAUUAUAUCAUAUAUCUGCAAAUUUAUGAUGGAGCGCACGUAAUCCUUUUUGCUGGUCUCAGUGUGAAUUACCUAGCCUGAGAACCAAAUUUCGAAUCAUGGCAUGAUGGCAAGCAAGAAAAGGUGCCAAUUCAUCACCACUACCAAAAUCCUCCACAACCAGCUAACUUUUAUGGCUUCAUGCCAACAUUGGCCAACUCCUUUAACAUGCAGUAGAAACAAAUGAUUUAAUUUAUAUCAUAUAAUAAAAUCUCCGCUCAAGUUUGAAAGUAGCAUAGACCCUCAUGUAAGGAGUAGAAUAAAUUUAAACCAUCAUGCACUUUCUAUCUGAAACCAGGGUCAACCUCUAAAAUCUCUAUAUGGUGUCUUUAUCCUCAAGAAACAGAAAAAUGAGUUAUAUACAUGGAACAUGUACCAAAAGCAAAGCCAGUUAAUUGUUUCAGGCGUGCGGUCCUUGAUGAACAUUUAGUCGAAAGAAGUAGAAUAUUUAACCCAUCACUAAAGUUUAAGUACAGUAUCUGAUUUUUCUGGCCAUGCAAACAUGUAAAUAUUUAGCAGAUAUGUAGACUAAAGUGUCAACUAUAAACCAUUGCCCACAUUUGAAAGAUACAUAAUCAGUCUAGAAUAAGCAUUUGUAGCUAGAUAAAUUACUUAUUUCAAGUUGACUGCUACUACUUCUUUUAGGAAGCAAAUCAUGGCAGGAAGUCAACUAUAAAAUGGCAAGAAUAUGUACAUUCCAUUAGAUAUCAAAAUAUCGACCUUCACUAUCACAACGAGCCACAGAAAGUUAAACUGAAGAGCAGAAAAUUUCAUUAAUGAACCAGAGAUGCGGUGUCAACAUUCUUAAAUUCCAGUUAAUAUUUUUUACAUUAAAAAAGAGUGAUCAUGCAUGCCAUUUUCCCUUCUUGUUAUCCCACUUCCAAGGAUAAAUGAAUUAAUUUUAGUUGCUGACACUCCCCAUUACCGCAGCCCUGCCAGUGCUUGAGGAAUCUGCCAAAGGGAAACCUGCAACAUCAUUAACCUAACAAUUGAUUCUGAAAUAUACUACAACACUAAGUCUGUUUACGAUACCUACACAAAAGAUGCUUUAAUAAUCUCAUAUUUGAUACUACCAUCAUACUGUGCUUGGUCAGGUGAAUGAUCCUCCCAGCUGCCAUAAGAGGAGCUUAACAAAGUAAGCUGACAAAAAAUUUAAGAAACAAGAACAAGCUAAACAUCGCAAGCCAAAACACUUAGGCAUGAUUAGAUAUGGCACUGUUGUCAACAUUGCUUAUCGCAGAAAAAUUAGGGGAUACUUGUUGUUGGUAAAAGUUUACAUUGGAAAAUAUAAUUCUCAGAAUUCUAGCUCAUAUACUUGUAUCCACACAUCAAGAAUUUCAGUACAGAGAUGAUCACUAAGGUAAAAUUCUUUUUCCACUAUUUCCCAUACACAUAAAGCUACAAAGUGUUGAUUUUAGGGAGCUCGGCACCAGGAAUGUACUGGUCAAUAAUGAUAACUUUACAACACAGCAAAAUGUCAUCAAAGAGUACAUCAGCUAGCACAACCAGCAUGUUGACAUUGUUUUCUUGCUCUCUUCUUCAGACUACUCCAAUUGCUCACAUGCUCAUGUCCAAAGCAUUUGUUCUCAACAUCAAGAAGAAACAUUAAAAGAACAAUUUUUCUGCAUGUUCUUAUCAGCAGUAAAUUGGGGCAAAUAUAAGACCAAAAAAGUACAUGUUCUUAAUAAUACACAAAUCCUAUGAGCUACUGUAGUAAGACUAAAAUUUAACACAGUAGAAACAUAUAUAACAUCAACCACCUAGAGAUAGAUUAGAGGGAAACAAGCACCAUGAAGAUAGAGUCAAUAUAGCAAACAUAUAUAGAAUCAAUAGAGUUGGAGACGUACAUGCCAGCCUGCAAGAUCUCUCUCGCACACUAAAAUAACAUGUCCUCCUGUACAACAAAGGGAUAUAAGAAUGGCCCAUAAAACCUAGCGAUGCAGCAGAGGAAGGGAGCAAACCUUAAUCACAGCACACUGCAAGCAACCGAUGGAUUGAACAACACCUGCAGGAAGAACAUGGUAAUGCACAUAUAAAAAAAGGACAGAACAAGGACUGUAUGGACUACAUAUCCUACUGGAAAAGAAGAACCAGUUGGAGGUUAGCAUCAUGGAAGGGACAAAAUUACACUUGGAAAGGUCUAGAGGCAAAAAUAUUACACUUGAAAAAGAAGAAUCUGCAGCAGCUACCGUGUUAGCAAGGAUCAACAAUACCUUGGGGAUUAUUUGCUUCAGCUGGAGCUCGAGGGCAGAUGCUGCCAGUCAUGGGCCCUAUUUGGUUCUUGCCCUGUAGAAGAGUAGGCAGGGCCAUGGUAGAGACAGAGAGAUGCAGAGGCAGUGGUGAAGAAAUCUCCGCUGUCGCCGCUCUCCCUCGCCCUCUACAGGCGCUGACGUACCUUCGGGCGUCGUUCUCUGCCCUGGAAGGAGAGGUCCGUCCUGGAGGUCGCCAUGCCCGGAUCUAGCGGCGGAGGUGGUGGAAACGGAUAGGGACGCGGAGGUCGCCAUGCUCAGGGACAGCGAGCUCUCCUUGUCGGAGAAAGCCACCACCAGCAGGGCACGACAGAGGAGAAGCCUGCCAGAUGAAUGGAUACGGCGGCCUGCGCUCCUCAGCGACGCCGUGGACCACCACGGAGGUGAAGAAGGGAGGCGGCAGCGGGCUGGAGAGAGAGGGAAGGCAGAGGGGGAACGGAAGAGCGCCGGCUGCGGCGGGUCGGCGGGGUCAAAGACGCGGGAGGAGGAGAGAGACAGCGCCUUGAGGGAGAGGCGGUGGAUUGGGGAGAGGCAGCAGAUUGGGGAGAGGAGAGGAGGCAGGGAUUGGGGGAGGUCGGGGCAACGAGGAGGCUCGGUAGGCUUCACCGUGUUUUAUUCUCUUCAUCAAACGGACCCACGGGCACACGGUCCACCCAUCAGUGAUUGAGGCUAGGUAGGGAAUGAGGUGAAAACAGGCGCUAUUUGCAUAAGUCAAGCGCGUGGAUGGCCUGAGAAGGCGUCUGGCCUAGCAAGGUUUAUAUUGUUCCACAACUCCGCCGGCGAGUCCGGUCCGAAGUUGCGGAGCGAGAGCGAGCGUCGUAGACGAAGUAGUCGAAGUAGUCGAAAUAUGCGAAAGUAAAAGUGACACAGGGAGAUAGAGGAGACCAGCUUUAUUAAUCAAUGAUCAGGGGUUACAAUGAUGGCUCCUCGUUGCUUUAUAUAGGGGGUAGGUGGUCAAGGGAUAAGUACCCACUUAACAAAAGAGGGGAAACGGGAGGGGCCGGCCCGUGCGCUUUGCACACGGCCGCCGCCACCCCUCCGGGUUGACCCGGUUUCCCAACACUCCCCCUUGGGUAAUUAUCCGUAUAUCCAUGCCUCAAAACUCCGAAAAACCCAGUGGGAAAAAAUGUGGAGAAAGAGCACACAGUAUACGUUGUUGUAUUGCACGAAUUGCCUCGUCAAAAACCUCGUGUGAGAAACAUCAGGAAAACUCACUCAAGGGAAAAAGAGUACAAUCCACUCAACCAUCAAGUUGAGUACUCGAUCAUCAGGAUUGAGAUUUUAGCGACGAGUUUGUGAAGUUUCUCCCCCUGAACCUUGCAUCUCUCUAAGUCUCAUCAUACCGAUUCCACGCACACACCUCUCUAAGGUUGAUGCCGGUAAUGAUUUAGUGAACAUAUCAGCAAGAUUGUCACAGGACUUAGUAUGCAAAACUCUUACCUCGUUCAACUGUUGCAGCUCAUGCGCAUAGAAGAACUUGGGACUAAUAUGCUUUGUGAGGUUACUCUUCACAUAACCCAUCUGGACUUGUGCAACACAAGCAGCAUUAUCUUCAUAGAUAAUGGUAGGGGUUUGUACGGUGUUCAGCCCACAUGUCUGCUGAAUGUGGCCGAUCAUCCGCCGAAGCAAUACACACUCUUUUGACGCUUCGAAUAGUGCCAUGAUUUCCGAGUGGUUCGUGGAAGUCGACACAAGUGUUUGCUUGGACGAUUUCCAGGAAAACGCAGUUCUACCACAAAGGAAAACAUAUCCAGUCUGCGAUUUGCAAUCAUGCGGGUCCGACAGGUACCCAGCAUCGGCAUAGCCUAUAAUAGAUAGGUCUUGAUUCCUCUUAUAAAAUAGACCAAGAUCUUUGGUCCCUUGCAGGUAACGGAAGACGUCCUUGACACCUUUCCAAUGUCUUUUGGUAGGUUCAGAACUGUACCGAGCAAGCAAACUGACGGCGAACGCAAUGUCUGGCCGUGUACAAUUUGCGAGGUACAUGAGUGCUCCAACUGCACUCAGGUAAGGAACCUCUGGUCCCAGAGUUUCCUCCCCCUCUUCCUUUGGCCUGAACGGGUCCUUGUCUGGCUGUAAAGAUCUUCCGACCAUCGGGGUCUUAGAAGGAUAUGCCUUAUCAAAUCCAAAUCUUUCCAACACCUUCUGGGUGUAGGCCGACUGGUGCACUAGAAUCCCAUCAGGGGAAUGUUCAAGUUGCAGACCUAGACAGAACUUGGUUUUACCCAAAUCCUUCAUCUCGAAUUCCGACAUCAGGUAGGAACUCGCUUCCUCAAUAUCCUCAGGUGUACCGAUUAUGUUUAAAUCGUCCACGUACACCGAGAUUAUACAGAAUCCAUCUUGGGAUCGCCGUAUAAAAACACAUGGGCAAUCUUUAUUGCUCGUGUAGCCCUUCUCAUGAAGGAAAUCACUUAAGCGAUUGUACCACAUUCUACCAGACAGUCUGAGUCCGUACAGUGCCUUUUGAAGUUGAACACUGUAUAGACCCCUAUUUGCUCUAUCAUGGUUCGGAACAGGGAUACCUUCUGGAACCUUCAUGUAUAUGUUCGAAUCCAGGUUACCAUAUAGGUAAGCAGUGACAAUAUCCAUUAGUUUCAUUUUCAAGCCCAUGUUUACUGCCAUCGAGAUCAAGUAUCUAAAGGUAACUCCAUCCAUGACUGGGGAAUAAGUCUCCUCAAAAUCGACACCUGGUCGUUGAGUGAACCCUUGAGCAACGAGCCUUGCUUUGUACCGUACUACCUUAUUAUUUUCAUCUCUCUUUCGAACAAAAACCCACCUAUGGCCAACAGGGCGAAUGUGGGGAGGAGUUCGACAAACUGGUCCGAACACCUUCCUUUUGUUGAGAGAUAAUAAUUCGGCAGUAAUUGCCUGCUGCCAAUCUUUCCAAUCCGACCUUUUCUUGCAAUCAGCGAGCGUGUUAGGCUCAGGGUUAUGAUUGAGGCAAUUUUCGUAGCAAAGUUGAUGUCAACAAUCACCGUUGCUCGGUUCAGGGACUCCCCCGUAUAAAUAUAAUUUAUGGCCAUUUCGUCAUGGAGCGCAUCAGGCGCAAACACUUGCUCUACCAAAUUUCCCAUUAUGGGAGCAAGGUCCUUUAGAUUUCCCGCGCCGAUGUGUGCGCUCACAUCUCCGCUGGGUGUUUCCCCUAUGGGAAAGUUUAAGUCCGGAAUUUCGUGCACUGAAUUUUCCGUACUUGUGCCAGGUCUCGACUGGCUCCCCGUUUCAAUUUGGGGUACUUUGGUGACAGGCUGUGAUAAAUCUCUCUUAUCCUUUUUCGUCGGGCGUCCCCGAGUACUUGGGAUUUGAGAAGCCGGAUUUCUCGUCCUUUUAGGCCUUUGGACGGGAGCGGGCAUACCAUCAUUUUUCUUCGGUAUUUCAACCCUUUCCGGUGCAUUGCGCGCGUGCACAUGCGAUUUUGUCACAGUCUUUAAGUCACUAAAGUGGUCAGGCAGUUGAUUUGCUAAAGACUGCAAAUCUAUUAUCUUUUGGACUUCUCUCUCAGUCUCAGCAGUGCGCGGGUCAUGAGCGUGGAUCCCCGUGGCUUGCCACGUGAUUUCUCGACUUUUAGCAUCAAGGGGUUGAUUCUCUCCCCCUAAAGUCGGGAAAAGAUCCUCGUCAAAAAUGCAAUCAGCAAAACGAGCCGUGUGACAGUCUCCUGUCAUGGGGUCCAGAUACCUGAUUAUGGACACAGUCUCAUAACCAACGUAUAUCCCCGACUUACGGAGCGGGCCCAUCGCCGAUCGCUGAGGGGGUGAUAUUGGUACAUAUACCUGGCAACCGAACCUACGAAGGUGGGAAAUUUUCGGUGCCGACCCUUGCGCAAGUUGAACAAGAGAGUGGAUGUUGUAGGCCGACGGUCGAAAGUUGAUGAGAUUAGCCGCGUGUAACACCGCGUGGCCCCAACAUGUAGUUGGUAAAUUACAACCCUGGAGGAGCGAUCGGGCAAUGAAUUUAAUUCUUUUAAUCAAUGCCUCGGCAAGUCCAUUUUGUGUAUGAACAUGUGGUACCGAGUGCUCAACUUUGAUUCCCAUUGCCAUGCAAUAAUCAUCGAACGCCUUUGAAGUAAAUUCUCCGGCGUUGUCCAUUCGAAUAGACUUUAUACGAUAAUCCGGGAAAUUAUUCCGCAUUUGGAUGAUCUGUGAGAUCAAUUUUGCAAAGGCAUGGUUCCUUGUUGACAGCAGGCAAACAUUGGACCAUUUAGAGGAAGCAUCAAUGAGCACCAUGAAGUACCGAAACGGCCCCGUGAGGGGCUGAAUUGGACCGCAUAUGUCCCCUUGGAUACGUUCCAAGAACGCGGGGAUUUCAUCCCUCACCUUGAGGGGCGAUGGCCUAAUGACUAACUUUCCCUUAGCGCAUGCGGAGCACACGAAAUCAUCAGGAUUCGGGAAGUUCUUCACGUUAACAUUAUGGCCAUGCGAGUUGUUAAUUAUAUUUCUCAUCAUCCUAAGUCCGGGGUGGCCUAACCUAUCGUGCCAGAGGCAGAAGAGUUCAGAGCUUCUAAAGACGGUCUUGAGGGUAGUGUACACGGGCGGUGCUACUAUCUUAGUGUAGUAUAGCCCUGUGUCAAACGAAGGAAGCCUUUCGAUAACAUGUUUACCACCUGCAUCCCGCUUUGUGAUGAGUAGGCAUUCCUUGCCGUUUUCAUCAUCGGUCUCAACAUGGAAACCAUUAGCGCGGAUGUCUCUAAAGCUCAAUAGAGUACGAGUCGACUCCGGGUACAACAACGCAUCAUUAAUGAGCAAAGUUGUUCCCAUGGGGAGUAUAAUAGUGGCUCGUCCGGAGCCAACUAUGUGAGAACCGCAGCCGGCGAUUGUCAUAAUACUUCCCGGAGAUUUUUUAAUGGACUCAAAGUACUUAGUUGUAGGGGAACGCAGCAGAAAACAAAAAAAAAAUCCGACCUACGCACCAGCCCAGGACCACUAUGGAGACUGCAUACAUGGUUUGAUCUUUUUCGUUACCGACUCGUAGCGCAGCGGGAAGUAGAGUCGAUGACGAUCGGCGGUGCAGAUCCCCGCAGCUAGGAUUUACAACCUCCCAACCGCGAGGAUGUAUACCCUCAUCUGCUCCUCAGACAGCCCUCCAGGAGGCGGUCGAACAGCCCCCCGGACGGUGUCGCGGACAGCCCUUCGGGAGGACCUUCGAAACUCGAACGGUCACUCGGACAGCCCUUCGGGAGGACCUUCGAAACUCGGACGGUCACACAGACAGCCCUUUGGGAGGCACUCACGAACCAAGACCGAAACUACGAUCUCUCUACAGAGUUGCACACAUACGGUGUCAUCUAUCCGGCAGGGCUUCGCCGUCCAGAACUAGUUCCUGCCGGAACCCAGACAGCCUUAUGGCUCUACGAAACUCUUUUCGUGGGAGGGAGAGAAGAAGCCAGAUAAUGCAUGGCAUGUGUAUGGGAGCAAGGGAUGAGUGUGGAGGGCUGCCCCUCCACCUCUAUUUAUAGGAAAUCCCAAGGGGGUAGGGUAGUUUCACAAAAAACCCAAAAUGCACAUGAAUGAAGUCCUUCCACAAGGACCUAGGAGUGAAACCAAGGAACAAGAGGGUCCCCAAGGGGGGAUACCCCAUGUGGCCGGCCACACCCCCAUGAGGGGCCCAAAAAAUGGCUCCUAUCCAUCCAUGUCAUCCCCAAGAUCUUUUGGAGCAAAGCCCCAAAAGGUGGCUUUCCAUAAAGUAACCAUAAAGCUGAUUUUCACUAUUCACGACGACAUUUUUCAGCGUCUGAUCGAACUGAAAAUAUUUAUGUGGGCUAAGAACAUUUCUAGUACCCACUAAAAUGAUUUUCAACGCGUUCCGAAACAAUUCCGGUUUUAGUGAUUUUCAUCUGCGAAACGCAUCUGAAGUGGCUCCGGCAGCUCCGGAACAUUUCCGGUUUUUAUCUCAGAAAAUUCCAAAAAGCUUCCAGAAUGAUUCUGGCAUCCUCCAAGAAUUAUCAGGCAUGUGCCGAAACCAAUUUGACUUAAUGGUGUAUCUCGAAACAACUUUUCGGUAUCAUCGAAACUUAUCCGAUGACCUCUCUCUGCGGUACGAUUCCGCUGUCCGAAACUUUUCGGUGUCCGAAACUUUUUCGGUGAUUUUCUCUCAGACUCCCUGUCUAGUAUUCAGCAGAUAGAUGACCCUUAAGCGUGUGACCCUAUAGGUUCGGUGAAGUAUAGACAUGACCCGGAACCCCUUCCGAUCAAUGAUCAACAUCGGAGCCAUGGACACCCAUAUUGACCCCUAUACCCACACGAAUAAAUAUUCGAGUGAACCUCCAGUUGCCGUGUGCUAUUCCUGUUGCUUCGCGAUAUGUUACAAAUACCCGAGGUGAGACAUGUUGGCAUUCCUGUGGAUCAACAACUUGUCCACUAUGCUAGCUACCUCGUUACCGGUAUUGUUCUCUUUUCUCGUUAUCGUGUUCCGGCAUCCCCGUGAUCAAAUCACAAAGUGUCUGGCCAGACGAUGAUGGAUACCGUAACACCGAGAGGGCCCAGAGAUAUCUCUCCAUCGUCAGAGGAGCAAAUCCCAAUCUUGAGCUAUCAAGUUACUUGACACACUUUUCCAUGAACCCGUAAGCCGCUGUAAUAGCCACCCAUUUACGGAUGACGUUUAACAAACCCCAAAGUUCAUGAAGCAAGCAUGAAGAAACUCGAUACUCUCAUGGUCUAAGGAAUCAUGCAAACGUUAACCAUCUCUGUGUUAUGUACCAAUAAACUUGUGACGAAUGAAUCUCAUAGCAUAACAUCAUGCCGGGUCGCUUCAACACAAAUGUUCUCUUAACAUUGUGCUCUCAAGGUUGCUGACAUAGACAUGCCCAUGAUCAGGAAAACAUAACCAUCAUGCAACACUUGAGCUAGUCUUAGAGGCCAGACUAGGAAUACAUUUUACCGUUUAUUAUUCCACACGUGCAUAUGAGUCUUCCUCCGAGCCUCGUGGUUAUUGCAGACUCGAGAACCAUAGCAGUUAUAGCAUGGAACAUAAACAUAAUUAUGAACUCGGAGAUAAAUAAUAUCAUUUAUUAUUGCCUCUAGGGCAUAUCUCCUACAGACUCCCACUUGCACUAGAGUCAAUAAUCUAGUUAAUGCUAAUGCACUUUACACCUGUGGCACACCGGUGUAAAUAUGCUUCGCUUGUGGUAUAGCCUGAUGUCCAACGGAUCUGACGACUUCAGUUCCGUGUGUAUCAUGUCCUCGCGUUUUCACGUUUUCACAAAAUUCAUAUUUUGUGUGGACUUGGCUUUGUAUGUAUGUGAAUCACAGGUCGAACCUGGAUUCCUCAGACUGAGUUAUGGAGCAACUACCUGCAAUAGUGUCCCAUUGUCAAAAGCCAUCUUGGAACUAUACUAAGUUCAUGAAUGAACUAUAUGAUUCAACAUCUUCUUUGUCGCUUCUAAAGCGUCAACAUACUUAGCCCUUGUUAUAGAAUUCGCCACAGUAACUAGUUUGAACAAAUUCCAACUAACUGUGCCACCACAUUGUGUGUUACACAAAACCCUUAACUUAAAUCAAAAAUCGCACGGUGAAAAGAUGAAGACUAUCGAUGUAACAUUUUACAACGAACUCUUCAUGAUCUCCACUUGCAAGAAAACAUAUCAUCAGUACUUACUCUAGUACUCAAUGACAUCUUUCACUGUUGUCCCACGAUCAGUACUUUGAUCACUUUAGUAUCCAUACUCGCAACACCUUGGGAGUAUCGGACAUAUCUGGUUGUUUUACAUACCAUGGAAUACAUGAUUAAUCCAAACACAAAAGUGUGUGGAAUCUGCAUCAUGUAUUUUACUCAUCAGUGUUUUGGGACACCGAGUCUUGCAAAAACUCUUUCCAUGUGACUUUGGCAAGAAUCACUCCUUGGCGUUUUAAAUGCUAAAAGGUUUUAGCAUCUUGUCAAUAUGUAUUCAUUGCUUAGCCCCAUUAGGUAAAUCUAUCUCCAUAGAUCAUCAUGCCUAAUAUUGAGGCUAUUUAGCCUAAGCACUUCAUCGAAAAACUAUUUUCAAAUGAAGUCCUAAUUCGUGUCAAGAAAUUUAUUUCCAAUUACCAAUGUGCCAAGCACAUAAGGUUUUUAGAAAUAUUAUUACGCUCCCACUUACUUUCUUGAAUUACAAGCAUCUUCGUUACCAUUGAUGAAGUCAAAACCCCCUUUGACCAUUUCAUCAAAACACGAAGAUUCCAACUCCAUUUUGCUCUCUUCUGUCCAUUGCUAGAACUCUGAAGUUUGCAUACCUACUAGCAUCCUCUGGAUCGACAAAUUACUUUGGACUAUAUCAUAUACAAGUCCUAGCUUUCAUUUCCAUCAGAUGGAAAUCCUUUUAUCAUCCAUGUUUCAUAUCUCAUGAUUGAAAUAUGUAUUAAUUGCUAGUUCAACCCGAACCGACUUUAAGCAUCUCUACGAUGAAAACAACCUCAUCGUAGUCAACUCUUGAACUUGUUAUUUCAACAAGUCGAGCUUUAUGGAUAAAACAUUUUAUCCGUAUCAGUUUUAAGUUCCAUAAAUAUUCGUUAGACUCUAAGUCUUCCGAAAGGUGUAUCAAGGUUUUAAUCUUGAAUCACUUAUAUGGAAACUAACUUGGGUUGUAUUGGCAUUUAGCCAAUUCCGGAGUCAGGGUCCAUCAACGCUUCCUUGUGUAUCGUAGGUAUAAUGUUGUCUAACAACAAUAUCUCGUUUGCGCACCUGAGAGGUUUGCACGAGCCUUGCCUACGUGGUUCAGCUGCAAGUUCGACCGAAGUUCAUACAUUUUAUUGUAGAGACUUCCGUAUCAGUCGCAGUAGGAAACUCUGGAAUUACUUCCAAGGUCUCUUUCCUUUGAUCUGAUGACGUAGAUACUGUUUAUCUCGUCGAGUUGCACUAUUCUCCCACUCACCUUUUUAAAAGAACCAUUCUCUUUAAAAGCACACCGUUUCGCGGCAAAACUAUUUGCCUCGGUAUAGUGAGGGAGGAAUACCCAACAUUUUGGUAUAACCUACAAAGUAGCACUUGUCUGAUUUGGAAUAGGUUUGUAACCUUUUACACAAGCCCCAUAUUCCAAAUGUUAAGAAAAGAUAUAACAUGGUUGGGCGUACCAUACCAUGGCUUCAUUUCAACAGACCCGAUGUAGCUCUUUUCAGUGUAAAAGCCGCAGUCUCUAAAGCAUCACUUUAAAAAGGAUAAUGGCAAAUUUAUUUAUGUCAUCUUUGACCUUACCAUGUCAUAAAUGGUUAGAUUACAUCUCCACGGACUUUUCACUUGCAGUGGUGUUCCGGGAGGUGCAAGUUAUGAAACCCCUUUCACAACUCAUCAGACAUUCGCUAAACAUGUAACUCAAAUAUUCCUUUGUGCAAUCAAAUUGCAGAAACAUAAUUUUCUUGUUACAAUAACUUCUACUUCAUUUUUGAGAACCUUUCGAAUGAUUUCAAAAGAUCCAGACUUAUGUCUCAUCAAGCAAAUAUCCAUAUAUCUACUUGAGUCAUUUCUGAAGAUAUAUAAAUCCACUACUUGCAACAACAUUUAUUGAACUACACACAUCAAAAUGUAUGAUCACCAAUAAGUUUGUUGCUCGUUCCUUAUGGCCUGUGAACGGUAUUUCAGUCACUUCACUUUUCGGAGAAAAGUUGCAAGUGUCAGAUGAUUCAAAAUCAAACGACUUCAAAAUCCAUCAUAAUGGAAUUUUUCCAUGCGGGUUUCUCCAAUGUGACCAAAUACAGUGCCACACAUGUGUGGUAUUCUCAUAGUCUUGCGACAUUUAGCGUCAGUGUUAUGGAUGUAUUAUAUUACCAUCAAUAUUCAUAACAUACAUCCAUCUUGGAUGGAAGCAUGGCCCUUCAUGUUAUUCAUAAUACUUAACAACAAUUGUUGUUUUUAUGAACAACUCUUUUGCAACAAACAUUGUGCAAUGGGCUAGAGUUUAUGAAACUCUAAAAUGAAUUAUGAAAGUAAACCCAGAGGUAUUGUAUUAUUAUCAAUAUUCAUAACAUACAUCUCAUUCAUAAUGAAAGUAUGGCCCUUGUGUUAUUCAUAACAUCGAACAUAAGAAGUUCUCUUAUGAACAACCUUCUUGCAAGAUACCUUAUGCAAUGGGAUAGAGUUUGUAAAACUCUAAAUGAAUUAUGAAAAUAAAUACAGAUGGCAAUACACCGAUGGAAGGUAUAGUAACAUUUACUAUGUUCCCUGUGUAUACCUUAACCUCAUUUCUAGCUAGUCUUUCAGGCCAUAGUAGUUCUUACAUCAAGUUGCAACAGAAUGCAAUCGAGCGGGCAUUUUUGUGAUGAACUCACAAUACCCAAGAAUUAGUGAUUAACAUGUUUAACCAUAAUUCGCAAGAACUAUAUCUUUGACCAGCCUUCUAUACAUCAAAAACUUGUAUGACAUUCAUACAUGAGCUGGAUAUUCCAGUCUUCUUUCCUUUUGCCUUUAUACUUCUAACAGUUUAACUUUUAGUAUUUCUCCUACUCUCAGAAGAAGCACCCAACUUAAGAGUGGCAUUAGCCCCGGACUUCCUAGGCGUGUAAGUCAUACUAACACCCUUUGGACACUUCCUUUCUCUUUAAGUUGUUGUUUUAUUCACCUUUCAUUAUAUGACAGGCGUUCUUCUGGAUCCCUUUCUCAACAGUCAAAUGCAUAGUAAACACUUUUACUAAUACUUGCAAACAAACAUUGCUUUGUUUAUAUCUGAAAAUAAUUUUCAGUUCCAUGAAUAUCAUAUAACUAUCCCAACUUUCGAAGUUUGGGUUUCAUGGAAGCAAACAUAUUCCACUUGACCAUAACAGAAUUCUAGCUUUUGGAUCGAAGGACGAGAGUCACAUGAUCCAUAGCAUUAGCGGGAGGAUACGGAAAGCAUGCGAUAGGACAAAGUCCUUCUCGGCACUUUUGAGGACAAUCCUCAUAUUACGUUACCAAUCGUAAAGUUUUAACCAGAUAUUUAAUAGCUAUUCAAUUUUAAUAGGGAAGGUGGAAAUGCGAGCCAUUAUUCUACAACUAUUAUGCAAGAAACACUUAGACAGUGUUCAUAAUUAAUUGCACUGAGAAUUAAACAUGUUAAUUCAACAGUGCGCUCCCACUCAAAUCAAUAUCUCUCACAAUUAAUUUUGAGUGAUACAAGAUCCAGACUUCAAUUCAUCGCCAUAGAAUCAUCAUCUCAUAACGGGAAUUUUAAUCGGCAGGCCAACUUGCCGAUCACAUCUCUAUGUGACUCUUGCUCAUCUUUCGAUGCGUGUGUUCCGAGCUCAGGACGAUCCUUCCAUGCACGUCAAGACAACCAAGUGAUCUUGCUGCGAGGUCUGACCUCACCCGCCUCACACUUGUCUAAUCGUUCGUACCCAUGCAUCCAUGGUGCACCCCGAAAAGAUAGGUGCCGUGACGGUGCUACACUUGGGAGAACACUAACUACUUGAUAUUUUAAGUGAGAGAUCACCCUAAUAAAAGCGACUACCGCGCAAUCAAGAAGGGUGCAUCAUAAGGGAUAAACAUCUCAGGCAAUUCAUAAUAGCAUGAUAUGGUAUAGCCCUUUCUGACGGAGAAGUAUUUCAUUUCUUCGUCUUCGGCAUUCGCGUCGGUGGUCACCUUCAUGAAGAUUGCCACCACCUUGUCGAUGCACCAGAUAAUAUUGCUAUCUCUAUAGCUAACAAAAUAAUGCAUUACAACAAGGUUGACAUGCAGGUCAUUAAAAUGCAAUCAUAUGGCUCCAGCCAUCAUGCCGAAUCAUGACACGCAGGUCAUGUUAAUCAAAUUACAUCAUAUAGUCAUCUCAUACAUAAUCGAAUUAGUAUGAGCACUGCUAUACCACAUCACAUGCACAUCCUGCAAAACCAAGUUAGACGCCUCUAAUAGGUUUAUGCAAAAAAUUAUUUUACGUGGCUUCUAAGGUUUUGACUUAAACCGCAUCUACCAACGUUUUAUCAUCAAGUAUGAUUAUUCAGGUUGCUAGAUUAACAUCUCGGGGUGUAUGAAACACGGGAUAAUUAAAUCUCGAGCCCCAUACUAAACUUCGUCAUACGCAUGACCCCCGUGCAGAUCAUAUCUGCAAUGCCCUUUCAUCUGCGAAUUUCAUCUUUCUUUUGACUACGGCAGAACCCAAAGAACUGAUAGCACUUCCAUGAUCAAUCAGGAUCACGGAUUGCCAGAACUUUGUCAAAUUCCACCAUGCUGUCUCGAGAUUGAGCAAACGCAAAUUCUAGGGAAGCAACAAGAACCUCGGGUAACAGAUUUCAUCUGUCACCCGCAUAAAUAAUUUUCAGCAAUAGAUCUCAUCUACUACCUAAUUAUAUUAUGCAAUACCCAUACAUCUCCAUGUAUUCUAGAUCGAAACCUGCAUCUACGCAUAGCACUGCUCUUGAUGCCACUGUAGGGGAACGCAGCAGAAAACAAAAAAAUUCCGACCUACGCACCAGCCCAGGACCACUAUGGAGACUGCAUACAUGGUUUGAUCUUUUUCGUUACCGACUCGUAGCGCAGCGGGAAGUAGAGUCGAUGACGAUCGGCGGUGCAGAUCCCCGCAGCUAGGAUUUACAACCUCCCAACCGCGAGGAUGUAUACCUCAUCUGCUCCUCAGACAGCCCUCCAGGAGGCGGUCGAACAGCCCCCCGGACGGUGUCGCGGACAGCCCUUCGGGAGGACCUUCGAAACUCGAACGGUCACUCGGACAGCCCUUCGGGAGGACCUUCGAAACUCGGACGGUCACACGGACAGCCCUUCGGGAGGCACUCACGAACCAAGACCGAAACUACGAUCUCUCUACAGAGUUGCACACAUACGGUGUCAUCUAUCCGGCAGGGCUUCGCCGUCCAGAACUAGUUCCUGCCGGAACCCAGACAGCCUUAUGGCUCUACGAAACUCUUUUCGUGGGAGGGAGAGAAGAAGCCAGAUAAUGCAUGGCAUGUGUAUGAGAGCAAGGAAUAAGUUUAUGCUCUCAUAGAGCUUACAACCAAAUCGAAUUUAUUCAAUUUUAUUGUAUCAAAGCAUGGAAUCGUGAUAACCAAAGAGGUAUGCUAAGUGGACUCGGUGAAGAAGCCAUUCACUUCCGCCGCAAUCUCCAUACUAGUGAGCUGAUCCUCCUCAGAAAUUAUCUUGGAGGCAGCAUCAAUGUCUAGUGGCGGCGCCGCCGAGGCGGCCAUGUGGUCAACCUCCAUGGCGACGUGGGCCUCGGUAGAGACCGCCAAAGCUGCCGCGAUGGGCACCACGGGGGUCGCCUCUAUAGGCGCAGCAGGGGGAGUAGCAAUCAUCACGGGUGCCGCCAUGGGCGCCGGUGGAGCUCCCUCCUGAACCAAGGCGAGGUGCGUCUCACGCGCCUUUCGAGCCUUAUAUGCAGCAACGACCUCCUGUGGUGCGCGGCACUGGCGGGAGAAAUGCUCCACCGAGCCACAACGGAAGCAGUCCUGAGGCCUUUGCCCUCCCUUGCCCGGCUUGUUUUGCUUAGCCGGGGCGGGGGGGGUGAGGGCCCUUCUUCUUGCCCUUCCGGCCCCUCUUCUUCUGUUGAGGCUUGCGGACUUUGAGAGCAUUCACCUCCUGGCGAGAACUCCCCCCAAGUGGUUGCGCGACAAAGUUCUUUUUGAGAACCUCGUCUUGCGCCUCCGCCACCUGGAGGACGUCAAUCAACUCUGAAUACCUCGUGUAGUUCCCCUGGCGGUAGUUCCGUGAGGACUGAACCGCGUCGGGGUGGAAAGUGGAUAGGGUUUUCUCAAUCUUCUGGGAGUCGGUAAUCUUAGUACCACACAACCGAAGAGUCGUACAAAUCUGGUGCAGAGCCGAAUUGUACUCCCCAACCGUCUUGAAGUCCGCAAACCUCAGACGGAUCCACUCUGCCUCCGCACGUGGCUUCACAGUGUACUUCAGGCGCUCAAACCGCUGCUUAAGAGCGGUCCAAGGCCAGAAGCACUGCGCUCAGCCAUAUACUCAUCUUUCAGAGUAGGUGAUAGGUGAUGACGGAGAAAGUGCAGAGCCUGCGCAUUCUCAGUCUCGAACUUGGGAUCAGUGACGGCUAGCUGGGCCCCCUUACCGAUCGCCCUCAGGAGGGUUUUGCCCUGGAGAAAGAUCUCGCAGUCCGAGGACCAUGACAGGUAGUUCAGCCCUGUCUGGGCCAACUCAGGAAACUCCUUGUGGACAAUUCCGGCCAUCUGCGAUUUAUGCAAAAAUCAUGAGAUUACAGCAGGUAAUCUUUUGCACAAAGCGAUGUUGAUAAACUUAUUCAAUAAAAUGACAUUCCAAUAUUUAAAACAUGCUAUUAUAUGACUUACUAAAUGAUUAAGAGUGCUAAACAAUUAAUCUACAGUGGUAAAAUCAUACAAUAAUAUCAUGUUACAAAAAAUAGCAUGUUAAGCGCAUCUAGUAUGUGAAAACUAGCCCAAAAAUUGAUUUCCCGAGGUAUUUUUAAGCCCAAAUACGCAUUUUCAGCGAAAACAGACAGUUCUAGGGGGUCUACGCGAAAUAUUGCUGCAGGAAUAAAAAUCGCGUGAAAACUGAAAAAUACAGGGGCUAAACCGCAAUUUUACGCGACAGCCGACGCCCCUCUUCAUUUUUUUAGAGGAAUCCCACGGCCGCGGCCCAUCCGGCCCAACAGCCAGCGGGCCGGCCCAGGCACGGCGCUCAGCUCCUGCCCGCAGCGACGCUAGGGUUUCCCCUAGCGCCCAGGGUGCGGCGGCGGCCUGGGGCCGGCCAGUACGCGCGGCNNNNNNNNNNNNNNNNNNNNNNNNNNNNNNNNNNNNNNNNNNNNNNNNNNNNNNNNNNNNNNNNNNNNNNNNNNNNNNNNNNNNNNNNNNNNNNNNNNNNNNNNNNNNNNNNNNNNNNNNNNNNNNNNNNNNNNNNNNNNNNNNNNNNNNNNNNNNNNNNNNNNNNNNNNNNNNNNNNNNNNNNNNNNNNNNNNNNNNNNNNNNNNNNNNNNNNNNNNNNNNNNNNNNNNNNNNNNNNNNNNNNNNNNNNNNNNNNNNNNNNNNNNNNNNNNNNNNNNNNNNNNNNNNNNNNNNNNNNNNNNNNNNNNNNNNNNNNNNNNNNNNNNNNNNNNNNNNNNNNNNNNNNNNNNNNNNNNNNNNNNNNNNNNNNNNNNNNNNNNNNNNNNNNNNNNNNNNNNNNNNNNNNNNNNNNNNNNNNNNNNNNNNNNNNNNNNNNNNNNNNNNNNNNNNNNNNNNNNNNNNNNNNNNNNNNNNNNNNNNNNNNNNNNNNNNNNNNNNNNNNNNNNNNNNNNNNNNNNNNNNNNNNAGCACGGCGGCACCGGCGAUCAGCGGGGUCGCGGCCAGCAGGGCGGCGCGUGCAGCGGGCACGCGAGUGCGGCGACGGCAGUCGAGCGCUUGGCGACGGGGACGUCGUCAUCUGCCUCGGGAUGGCAAGAUCGUGCGUCUUCGGGACGUCACGACGCGUGUACGUCGGGUACAACGCGGCGGUACCGUGAUCAUCUGGAUCACGAUCUGUACCGACUCCCGUAUAGGGUAGUCAACAAGUCUCUCGUGAUCCAAAAACAUCGACAUUGGUCGGCGACGUGUUCGUCCGCUCGGUUUUUGGGAGAGAAAUCCACACCAUAGGUAGAUGUAUCCGAAAAAAUAAUCUAAUCGCAAAAACGGAAUCGUAGUAACGAGAGUAAUCCAUUUUUGCAAAGAGUGGGGAUCGGAUCUUAUACCUCCGCGGGAUCGACGAAAGCCUGCGUGAUGCAGGCUUGACGCAGGCUUGACGGAGAGUUGAUGGAGCGAAGCGUGCUGAUAACGUGUUCCACAACUCCGCCGGCGAGUCCGGUCCGAGGUUGCGGAGCGAGAGCGAGUGUCGUAGACGAAGUAGUCGAAAUAUGCGAAAGUAAAAGUGACACAGGGAGAUAGAGGAGACCAGCUUUAUUAAUCAAUGAUCAGGGGUUACAAUGAUGGCUCCUCGUUGCUUUAUAUAGGGGGUAGGUGGUCAAGGGAUAAGUACCCACUUAACAAAAGAGGGGAAACGGGAGGGGCCGGCCCGUGCGCUUUGCACGCGGCCGCCGCCACCCCUCCGGGUUGACCCGGUUUCCCAACAUAUAUGUUCAAUUCUGUAGGUAGCGUUGGAUGGGUUCCAGUCCAGGGAGCUCCCCCAGCACGAGCGGGUCGCUCUGUAUCACCUCUGCCGCUCUCUGGUAUUUUAUUGGGCUAUGUUCGCGCUGCUGGUGUGGUUCCCAACAUCGCUGGCGGUCGCAGCGCCUUGGUCGUCCAUUACAAUUCUGUCUCCGUUCCGGCCAAGGUAUCUCUGGCACUGCUGGAGGUUUGUUCCGCUCGAUUCCAGCGACACCGAACCGGUUGCUGGCAAGAUUGGAGUCUGGACCUGGCUUUCUUUUCGGCCUCGAAAGACUGGGCAGGGCCUCCGUUCAGAGCAGACAGUUUGGAGGAGCGCUUCAUCCACCUCCCCCAGCAAGCGUUCAACGGGGUGCUGCCCUAGCUGAUUUAGAGCUGAGCUUCUACUGCAGGGAUGGUAGUCUUUUUCAGCAUUCUCAGGUCCCGCAGCUAUGGACGGAAGCCGUCCAAGGUACUCCUUUCUGUCGAUGAUGGUGAAGCCACAUCAUUCAUUGUUGUUUUAGUUUUCUUCAGAGCUACUUACGAGUUGUCCUGUACUUUCCCUGUAGGUACUGCUGUUAUAACACUUCAUACUUUCUGCUACCUCUUGAGCAUGCGUUGGUUUCCCCUUGAAGAGGAAAGGGUGGUGCAACAAAGUAGCGUAAGUAUGUCCCUCAGUUUUUGAGAACCAAGGUAUCAAUCCAGUAGGAGGCCACACGCAAGUCCCUCGUACCUACACAAACAAAUAAGAACCUUGCAACCAACGCGAUAAAGGGGUUGUCAAUCCCUUCACGGCCACUUGCAAAAGUGAGAUCUGAUAGAGAUGAUAAGAUAAUAUUUUUGGUAUUUUUAUGAUAAAGAUUAAAAGUAAAGAAAGCAAAAUAAACGGUGAUAGAAAUAGCUUGUUGACGGGAGAUUAAUAUGAUGGAAAAUAGACCCGGGGGCCAUAGGUUUCACUAGUGGCUUCUCUCAAGAUAGCAUAAGUAUUACGGUGGGUGAACAAAUUACCGUCGAGCAAUUGAUAGAAAAGUGCAUAAUUAUGAGAAUAUCUAGGCAUGAUCAUGUAUAUAGGCAUCACGUCCGCGAUAAGUAGACCGACUACUACCUGCAUCUACUACUAUUACUCCACAAGUCGACCGCUAUCCAGCAUGCAUCUAGAGUAUUAAGUUCAUAAGAACAGAGUAACGCAUUAGGUAAGAUGACAUGAUGUAGAGGGAUAAACUCAAGCAAUAUGAUAUAAACCCCAUCUUUUUAUCCUCGAUGGCAACAAUACAAUAUGUGUCGUUUCCCCUACUGUCACUGGGAUCGAGCACCGCAUGAUUGAACCCAAAGCUAAGCACUUCUCCCAUUGCAAGAAAGAUCAAUCUAGUAGGCCAAACCAAACUGAUAAUUCGAAGAGACUUGCAAAGAUAACCAAUCAUACAUAAAAGAAUUCAGAGAAGAUUCAAAUAUUGUUCAUAGAUAAUCUUGAUCAUAAACCCACAAUUCAUCGGAUCUCGACAAACACACCGCAAAAAGAGUUACAUCAAAUAGAUCUCCAAGAAGAUCAAAGAGAACUUUGUAUUGAGAUCCAAAGAGAGAGAAUACGCCAUCUAGCUAAUAACUAUGGACCCGAAGGUCUGUGGUAAACUACUCACACAUCAUCAGAGAGGCUAUGGUGUUGAUGUAGAAGCCCUCCGUGAUCGAUGCCCCCUCCGGCAGAGUGCCGGAAAAGGCCCCAAGAUGGGAUCUCACGGGUACAGAAGGUUGCGGUGGUGGAAUUAGGUGUUCGUGGUGCUCCUCGAUGGUUUCGGGGUACGUAGGUAAAUAUAGGAGGAAGAAGUAGGUCGGUGGAGCCAUGAGGGGCCCACGAGGGUGGAUGGCGCCCCCCCUGCCUCGUGGCCUCCUCGUUGAUUGCUUGACGUCCACUCCAAGUCCUCUGGAUCACGUUUGUUCUAAAAAUCACGCUCCCGAAGGUUUCAUUCCGUUUGGACUCCGUUUGAUAUUCCUUUUCUGCGAAACACUGAAAUAGGCAAAAAAACAGCAAUUUGCACUGGGCCUUGGGUUAAUAGGUUAGUCCCAAAAAUAAUAUAAAAGUGUAUAAAUAAGCCUAUGAAACAUCCAAAACAGAAUAUAUAUAAUAGCAUGGAGCAAUCAAAAAUUAUAGAUACGUUGGAUACGUAUCAAGCAUCCCCAAGCUUAAUUCCUCCUCGUCCUCGAGUAGGUAAAUGAUAAAAACAGAAUUUUUGAUGUGGAAUGCUACUUAGCAUAUUCUUCAAUGUAUUUCUCUUUAUUGUAGCAUGAAUGUUCAGAUCCGAAAGAUUCAAGAUAAAAGUUUAAUAUUGACAUAAAAAUAAUAAUACUUCAAGCAUACUAACAAAGCAAUUAUGUCUUCUCAAAAUAACAUAGCCAAAGAAAGCUCAUCCCUACAAAAUCAUAUAGUUUGGUCAUGCUUCAUUUUCGUCACACAAGAUGCUCUCAUCUUGCACAACCCCGAUGACAAGCCAAGCAAUUAUUUCAUACUUUUGUAAUCUCAAAGUUUUUUCAACUUUCACGCAAUACAUGAGCGUGAGCCAUGGAUAUAGCACUAUGGGUGGAAUAGAAGAUGAUGAUGGGGGUUGUGUGGAGAAGACAAAAAAGGAGAAAGUCUCACAUUGACGCGGCUAAUCAAUGGGCUAGGGAGAUGCCCAUCAAUUGAUGUCAAUGCAAGGAGUAGGGAUUGCCAUGCAACGGAUGCACUAGAGCUAUAAAUGUAUGAAAGCUCAACAAAAGAAACUAAGUGGGUGUACAUCCAACUUGCUUGCUCACGAAGACCUAGGGCAUUUGAGGAAGCCCAUCGUUGGAAUAUACAAGCCAAGUUCUAUAAUGAAAAAUUCUCACUAGUAUAUGAAAGUGGCAAAACAAGAGACUCUCUAUCAUAAAGAUCAUGGUGCUAAUUUGUAGCACAAGUGUGGAAAAAGGAUAGUAGCAUUGUCCCUUUUUAUGUCUUAUUUUGGGCCUUUCUUUUUUUUGGGCCUUUUUUUGGGAUAAUGCUCUAUUAAUGAUGUUCAUCACACUUCUAUUUAUUUAUAACUCAAUGAUUACAACUCGAUACUUAGAACAAAAUAUGACUCGGUGUACCGGGAAGGGCAAUGAAUCAAGAGUGACAUGUAUGAAAUAAUAUGCAUGGUGGCUUUGCCACAAAUACGAUGUCAACUACAUGAUCAUGCAAGGCAAUAUGACAAUGAUGAUGCGUGUCAUAAUAAACAGGAACGGUGGAAAGUUGCAUGGCAAUAUAUCUCAAAAUGGCUAUGAAAAUGCCAUAAUAGGUAGGUAUGGUGGCUGUUUUGAGGAAGAUAUAAGGAGGUUUAUGUGUGAUAGAGCGUAUCGUAUCACGGGGUUUGGAUGUACCGGCGAAGUUUGCACCAACUCUCAAGGUGAUAAAGGGCAAUAUACGGUACCGAAGAGGCUAGCAAUGAUGGAAGGUUGAGAGUGCGUAUAAUCCAUGGACUCAAUAUUAGUCAUAAAGAACUCACAUACUUAUUGCAAAAAUCUACAAGUCAUCAAAAACCAAGCACUACGCGCAUGCUUCUAGGGGGAUAGAUUGGUAGGAAAAGACCAUCGCUCGUUCCCGACCGCCACUCAUAAGGAGGACAAUCAAAGAAACACCUCAUGUUUCAAAUUUGUCACACAACGUUUACCAUACGUGCAUGCUACGGGACUUGCAAACUUCAACACAAGUAUUUCUCAAAUUCACAACUACUCAACUAGCACAACUUUAAUAUUACCACCUUUAUAUCUCAAAACAACUAUCAAGUAUCAAACUUCUCUUAGUAUUCAAUGCACUUAGAAGUUUUUAUCUUGGAUGCCUAUCAUAUUAGGACUAAUUUUAUAACCAAAGAAAAUUACCAUGCUGUUCUAAAGGACUCUCAAAAUAAUAUAAGUGAAGCAUGAGAGAUCAAUAAUUUCUAUAAAAUAUAACCACCACCGUGCUCUAAAAGAUAUAAGUGAAGCGCUAGAGCAAAAUUGUUUAGCUCAAAAGAUAUAAGUGAAGCACAUAGAGUAUUCUAAUAAAUUCCGAAUAAUGUGUCUCUCUCUAAAAAGAUGUGUACAGCAAGGAUGAUUGUGGUGAACUAAAAAGCAAAGACUCAAAUCAUACAAGACGCUCCAAGCAAAACACAUAUCAUGUGGUGAAUAAAAAUAUAGCUCCAAGUAAAGUUACCGAUGAACGAAGACAAAAGAGGGGAUGCCUUCCAGGGCAUCCCCAAGCUUAGGCUUUUUGGGUUGUCCUUAGAUUUUACCUUGGGGUGCCUUGGGCAUCUCCAAGCUUAGGCUCUUGCCACUCCUUGUUCCAUAAUCCAUCAAAUCUUUACCCAAAACUUGAAAACUUCACAACACAAAACUUAAUAGAAAAUCUCGUGAGCUCCGUUAGCGAAAGAAAACAAAACACCACUUCAAGGUACUGUAAUGAAUUCAUUAUUUAUUUAUAUUGGUGUUAAACCUAAUGUAUUCCAACUUUUCUAUGGUUCAUAAACUCCAUUACUAGCCAUAGAUUCAUCAAAAUAAGCAAACAACACGCGAAAAACAGAAACUGUCAAAAACAGAACAGUCUGUAGUAAUCUGUAACUAACGCAAACUUAUGGAGCUCCAAAAAUUCUAAAAUAAAUUGCUGGACGUGAGGAAUUUAUAUAUUAAUCAUCUUCAAAAAUAAUAAACUAAAUAGAACUCUCCAGUAAAAAGUUGUAGCUAAUCUCGUGAGCGCUAAAGUUUCUGUUUUUUACAGCAAGAUCGCAAAGACUUUCCCCAAGUCUUCCCAAAGGUUCUACUUGGCACAAACACUAAUUAAAAACACAAAAACACAUCUAAAAAGAAGCUAGAUGGAUUUUUUAUUCCUAAACAGAACCAAAAAGCAAAAAACUAAAAUAAAAUUGGGUUGCCUCCCAACAAGUGCUAUCGUUUAACGCCUUAGCUAGGCAUAAAGGCAAGGAUAAAUCUAGGUAUUGCCAUCUUUGGGAUGCAAUCCAUAAGUGACUCUCAUGAUAGAUUCAUAAGGUAAUUUUAUUUUCUUUCUAGGAAAGUGUUCCAUGCCUUUCCUUAACGGAAAUUGGAAUCUAAUAUUUCCUUCCUUCAUAUCAAUAAUUGCACCAAUCGUUCUAAGGAAAGGUCUACCAAGAAUAAUAGGACAUGAAGGAUUGCAAUCUAUAUCAAGAACAAUGAAAUCUACGGGCACAUAAUUCCUAUUUGCAAAAAUAAGAACAUCAUUAAUUCUUCCCAUAGGUUUCUUAAUGGUGGAAUCCGCAAGGUGCAAGUUUAAAGAACAAUCAUCAAAUUCACGGAAAUCUAGCAAAUCACACAAAGUUUUUGGAAUUGUGGAAACACUAGCACCCAAAUCACACAAAGCAUAGCAUUCAUGAUCCUUAAUUUUAAUUUUAAUAGUAGGUUCCCACUCAUCAUACAGUUUUCUAGGGAUAGAAACUUCCAAUUCAAGCUUUUCUUCAUAAGAUUGCAUUAAAGCAUCAACGAUAUGUUUAGUAAAAGCCUUAUUUUGACUAUAAGCAUGCGGAGAAUUUAGCACGGAUUGCAACAAGGAAAUACAAUCUAUUAAAGAACAAUUAUCAUAAUUAAAUUCCUUGAAAUCCAAGAUAGUGGGUUCAUUGCUAUCUAAAGUUUUGACCUCUUCCAUCCCACUUUUACCAAAUUUUGCAUCAAGAUCUAAAAACUCCGAAUCAUUGGGACGCCUUUUAACUAAACUUGACUCAUCUCCAGUCCAAUCAUUAUCAAAAUUCAUAUUGCAAAACAGAGAUUUAAUAGGGGACACAUCAAUUACUUUUAGAUCUUCAUCCUUAUUACCCUCCAAAUCUUCAGAUCGUGGAGGGGAAUAUUUGAGUCACGAAUUUGGCACGCACUUAAGGAAAUGUGGAAUUGUUUCACAACUCACGCCGCCUAGAACACCUCAGCGUAAUGGUGUGUCCGAACGUUGUAAUCGCACUCUAUUAGAUAUGGUGCGAUCUAUGAUGUCUCUUACCGAUCUACCGCUAUCAUUUUGGGGUUAUGCUUUAGAGACUGCCGCAUUCACUUUAAAUAGGGCUCCGUCGAAAUCAGUUGAGACGACACCGUAUGAAUUAUGGUUUGGGAAGAAAUCUAAGCUGUCAUUUAUGAAAGUUUGGGGAUGCGAUGCUUAUGUCAAGAAAUUCAACCUGAAAAGCUCGAACCCAAAUCGGAAAAAUGCGUCUUCAUAGGAUACCCUAAGGAAACUAUUGGGGAUACCUUCUACCUCAGAUCCGAAGGCAAGAUCUUUGUUGCCAAGAAUGGAUCCUUUCCAGAGAAAGAGUUUCUCUCGAAAGAAGUAAGUGGUAGGAAAGUAGAACUUGAUGAGGUAUUGCCUCUUGAACCGGAGAGUAGCGCAGCUUAGGAAGAUGUUUCUGUGGUGCCUGCACCGACUAGAGAGGAAGUUAAUGAUGAUGAUCAUGAAACUUCAGAUCAAGUUGCUACAGAACUUCGUAGGUCCACAAGGACAUGUUCCGCACCAAAGUGGUACAGCAACCCCUGUCCUAGAAAUCAUGUUGUUAGACAAUGGUGAACCUUCGAACUAUGAAGAAGCGAUGGCGGGCCCGGAUUCCAACAAAUGGCUUGAAGCCAUGAAAUCCGAGAUAGGAUCCAUGUAUGAAAACGAAGUAUGGACUUUGACAGACUUGCCCGAUGAUCGGCAAGCCAUAGAGAAUAAAUGGAUCUUUAAGAAGAAGACAGACGCGGAUGGUAAUGUGACCAUCUAUAAGGCUCGGCUUGUCGCUAAGGGUUAUCGGCAAGUUCAAGGGGUUGACUACGAUCAGACCUUCUCACCCGUAGCGAAGCUGAAGUCCGUCCGAAUCAUGCUAGCAAUUGCCGCAUUCUAUGAUUAUGAGAUAUGGCAAAUGGACGUCAAAACGACAUUCCUUAAUGGUUUCCUAAAGGAAGAAUUGUAUAUGAUGCAGCCGGAAGGUUUUGUCGAUCCUAAGAAUGCUGACAAGGUAUGCAAGCUCCAGCGCUCAAUCUAUGGGCUGGUGCAAGCAUCUCGGAGUUGGAACAUUCACUUUGAUGAGAUGAUCAAAGCGUUUGGGUUUACACAGACUUAUGGAGAAGCUUGUGUUUACAAGAAAGUGAGUGGGAGCUCUAUAGCAUUUCUCAUAUUAUAUGUGUAUGACAUACUAUUGAUGGGAAAUGAUAUAGAAUUCUUGGAAAGCAUAAAGGCCUACUUGAAUAAGUGUUUUUCAAUGAAGGACCUUGGAGAAGUUGCUUACAUAUUUGGCAUCAAGAUCUAUAGAGAUAGAUCGAGACGCCUCAUUGGUCUUUCACAAAGCACAUACCUGAUAUUGAAGAAGUUCAAUAUGGAUCAGUCCAAGAAGGGGUUCUUGCCUGUAUUGCAAGGUGUGAGAUUGAGCACAGCUCAAUGCCCGACCACGGCAGAAGAUAGAGAAAAGAUGAGUGUCAUCCCCUAUGCCUCGGCCAUAGGGUCUAUUAUGUAUGCCAUGCUGUGUACCAGACCUGAUGUGAACCUUGCCAUAAGUUUGGUAGGAAGGUACCAAAGUAAUCCCGGCAUGGAACACUGGACAGCGGUCAAGAAUGUCCUGAGGUACCUGAAAAGGACUAAGGAUAUGUUUCUCGUUUAUGGAGGUGAUGAAGAGCUCGUCGUAAAGGGUUAUGUCGAUGCUAGCUUCGACACAGAUCUGGAUGACUCCAAGUCGCAAACCGGAUACAUGUAUAUUUUGAAUGGUGGGGCAGUCAGCUGGUGUAGUUGCAAGCAAAGCGUCGUGGCGGGAUCUACAUGUGAAGUGGAGUACAUAGCAUCCUUAGAGGCAGCACAGGAAGCAGUCUGGAUGAAGGAGUUCAUCACCGACCUAGGAGUCAUUCCCAAUGCGUCGGGCCCAAUGACACUCUUCUGUGCCGGAGAACUGCAAGCUCCACCACCACGCCAUCGUGUUGCGGAGUUCUUCCUCAACUUCUCCUUCCCCCUUGCUGGAUCAAGAAGGAGGAGACGUCCCCGUGCUGCACGUGUGUUGAACGCGGAGGCGCCGUUGUUCGGCGCUUAGAUCGGAAUCAACCGCGAUCUGAAUCGCUGCGAGUACGACUCCUUCAUCCGUGUUCUUGUAACGCUUCCGCGUCACGAUCUUCAAGGGUAUGAAGAUGCACUCCCCUAUCUCUCGUUGCUAGUCUCUCCAUAGAUUGAUCUUGGUGAUGCGUAGAAAUUUUUUAAUUUCUGCAACGAUCCCCAACAGUGGCAUCAUGAGCUAGGUCUAUGCGUAGUUUCUAUGCACGAGUAGAACACAAGUUGUUGUGGGCAUCGAUUUUGUCAAUUUACUUGCCGUUACUAGUCCGAUCUUGAUUCGGCGGCAUCGUGGGAUGAAGCGGCCCGAACCGACCUUACACGUACGCUUACGUGAGACAGGUUCCACCGACUGACAUGCACUAGUUGCAUAAGGUGGCUAGCGGGUGUCUGUCUCUCCCACUUUAGUCGGAUCGGAUUCGAUGAAAAGGGUCCUUAUGAAGGGUAAAUAGAAAUUGGCAUAUCACGUUGUGGUUUUGGCGUAGGUAAGAAACGUUCUUGCUAGAAACCUAUAGCAGCCACGUAAAAACUCGCAUAAACAAUUAGAGGACGUCUAACUUGUUCUUGCAGCAUAUGCCGUGUGAUGUGAUAUGGCCAAAAGGAUGCGAUGAAUGAUAUAUGUGAUGUAUGAGAUUGAUCAUGUUCUUGUAAUAGGAAUCACGACUUGCAUGUCGCUGAGUAUGACAACCGGCAGGAGCCAUAGGAGUUGUCUUAUUUAUUGUAUGACCUGCGUGUCACUGAAAACGCCAUGUAAUUACUUUGCUUUAUUGCUACCGUUAGCCAUAGUAGUAGAAGUAACAGUUGGCGAGACAACUUCAUGAAGACACGAUGAUGGAGAUCAUGGUGUCAUGCCGGUGACGAUGAUGGUCAUGGCGCCCCGAAGAUAGAGAUCAAAAGGAGCAAAAUGAUAUUGGCCAUAUCAUGUCACUAUUUGAUUGCAUGUGAUGUUUAUCAUGUUUUUACAUAUUAUUUGCUUAGAAUGACGGUAGCUUAAAUAAGAUGAUCCCUCGCAAUAAUUUCAAGAAAGUGUUCCCCCUAACUGUGCACCGUUGCGAAGGUUCGUUGUUUCGAAGCACCACGUGAUGAUCGGGUGUGAUAGAUUCUAACAUUCGAAUACAACGGGUGUAAGCCAGAUUUACACAUGCAAAACACUUAGGCUGACUUGAUGAGCCUAGCAUGUACAGACAUGGCCUCGGAACACGAGAGACCGAAAGGUCGAACAUGAGUCGUAUGGUAGAUACGAUCAACAUGAAGAUGUUCACCGAUGAUGACUAGUCCGUCUCACGGGAUGAUCGGACACGGCCUAGUUGACUCGGAUCAUGUAUCACUUAGAUGACUAGAGGGAUGUCUAUCUGAGUGGGAGUUCAUUAAAUAAUUUGAUUAGAUGAACUUAAUUAUCAUGAACAUAGUGAAAAUCUUUGCAAUAUGUCUUGUAGAUCAAAUGGCCCACGCUAAUGUUGCCCUCAACUUCAACGCGUUCCUAGAGAAAACCAAGCUGAAAGACGAUGGUAGCAACAAUACGGACUGGGUCCGUAACUUGAGGAUCAUCCUCAUAGCUACCAAGAAAUCAUAUGUCCUUGAUGCACCGCUAGGUGAAGCACCUGUUUUCCCAGCAACUCAAGAUGUUAUGAACGCCUGGCAGUCGCGUAGUGAUGAUCACUCCCUGGUUCAGUGUGGCAUGCUUUACAGCUUAGAAUCGGGGCUCCAAAAGCGUUUUGAGCAGCACGGAGCAUAUGAGAUGUUCCAAGAGCUGAAAAUGGUUUUCCAAGCUCAUGCCCGAGUUGAGAGAUAUGAAGUCUCCAAAAAGUUCUACAGUUGUAAGAUGGAGGAGAAUAGUUCUGUCAGCGAGCACAUACUCAAAAUGUCUGGGUUGCACAACCGCUUGUCUCAGCUGGGAGUUAAUCUCCCGGAUGACGCGGUCAUUGACAGAAUCCUUCAGUUGCUGUCACCUAGCUACAAGAGCUUUGUGAUGAAUUUCAAUAUGCAGGGGAUGGAGAAAACCAUUCCUGAGGUAUAUUCAAUGCUGAAAUCAGCGGAGGUGGAGAUAAAAAAGAACAUCAAGUGUUGAUGGUCAAUAAAACCACUAGUUUCAAGAAAGGCAAGGGUAAGAAGAACUUCAAGAAGGACGGCAAGGGAGUUGCCGCGCCCGGUAAGCCAGUUGCCGGGAAGAAGCCAAAGCAUGGACCCAAACCUGGGACUGAGUGCUUUUAUUGCAAGGGAAACGAUCACUGGAAUUGGAAAUGCCCCAAGUACUUAGCGGAUAAGAAGGCCGGAAAUACCAAAGGUAUAUAUGAUAUGCAUGUUAUUGAUGUGUACCUUACCAGCACUCGUAGUAGCUCCUGGGUAUUUGAUACCGGUGCGGUUGCUCAUAUUUGUAACUCAAAACAGGAGCUGCUGAAUAGGCGGAGACUGGCGAAGGACGAGGUGACGAUGCGCGUCGGGAAUGGUUCCAAGGUCGAUGUGAUCACCGUCGGCACGCUACCUCUACAUUUACCUACGGGAUUAGUUUUAAACCUCAAUAAUUUUUAUUUAGUGCCAGCUUUGAGCAUGCACAUUGUAUCUGGAUCUCGCUUAAUGUGAGAUGGCUACUCAUUUAAAUCUGAGAAUAAUGGUUGUUCUAUUUAUAUGAGAGAUAUGUUUUAUGGUCAUGCCCCGCUGGUCAAUGGCUUAUUCUUAUUGAAUCUCGAACGUGAUGUUACACAUAUUCAUAGUGUGAAUGCCAAAAGAUGUAAGGUUGAUAAUGAUAGUCCCACAUACUUGUGGCACUGCCGCCUUGGUCACAUUGGUGUCAAACGCAUGAAGAAACUCCAUGCAUAUGGACUUUUGGAGUCUCUUCAUUACGAAUCAUUUGACACGUGCGAACCAUGCCUCAUGGGCAAAAUGACCAAGACACCGUUCUCCGGAACAAUGGAGCGAGCAACCAACUUAUUGGAAAUCAUACAUACUGAUGUGUGCGGUCCAAUGAGCGUUGAGGAUCGCGGUGGUUAUCGUUAUGCUCUCACCCUCAGUGAUGACUUAAGUAGAUAUGGGUAUGUCUACUUAAUGAAACACAAGUCUAAGACCUUUGAAAAGUUCAAGGAAUUGCAUAGUGAGGUUGAGAAUCAACGUGACAGGAAAAUAGAGUUCUUACGAUCAGAUCAUGGAGGGGAAUAUUUGAGUCACGAAUUUGGCACGCACUUAAGGAAAUGUGGAAUUGUUUCACAACUCACGCCGCCUGGAACACCUUAGCGUAAUGGUGUGUCCGAACGUCAUAAUCACACUCUAUUAGAUAUGGUGCGAUCUAUGAUGUCUCUUACCGAUCUACCGCUAUCAUUUUGGGGUUAUGCUUUAGAGACUGCCGCAUUCACUUUAAAUAGGGCUCCGUCGAAACCCGUUGAGACGACACCGUAUGAAUUAUGGUUUGGGAAGAAACCUAAGCUGUCGUUUCUGAAAGUUUGGGGGUGCGAUGCUUAUGUCAAGAAAAUUCAACCUGAAAAGCUCGAACCCAAAUCGGAAAAAUGCGUCUUCAUAGGAUACCCUAAGGAAACUAUUGGGUAUACCUUCUACCUCAGAUCCGAAGGCAAGAUCUUUGUUGCCAAGAAUGGAUCCUUUCUAGAGAAAGAGUUUAUCUCGAAAGAAGUAAGUGGUAGGAAAGUAGAACUUGAUGAGGUAUUGCCUCUUGAACCGGAGAGUAGCACAGCUCAGGAAGAUGUUUCUGUGGUGCCUGCACCGACUAGAGAGGAAGUUAAUGAUGAGAUCAUGAAACUUCGGAUCAAGUUGCUACUGAACUUCGUAGGUCCACAAGGACACGUUCCGCACCAGAGUGGUACGACAACCCUGUCCUAGAAAUCAUGUUGUUAGACAAUGGCGAACCUUCGAACUAUGAAGAAGCGAUGGCGGGCCCGGAUUCUGACAAAUGGCUUGAAGCCAUGAAAUCCGAGAUAGGAUCCAUGUAUGAAAACGAAGUAUGGACUUUGACAGACUUGCCCGAUGAUCGGCAAGCCAUAGAGAAUAAAUGGACCUUUAAGAAGAAGACAGACGCGGAUGGUACUGUGACCAUCUAUAAGGCUCGGCUUGUCGCUAAGGGUUAUGGAAAAGUUCAAGGGGUUGACUACGAUGAGACCUUCUCACCUGUAGCGAAGCUGAAGUCCGUCUGAAUCAUGUUAGCAAUUGCCACAUUCUUGUUGGCUCCGUAGCAUAAUUUAAAAUUUUCCUACGCUCACCAAGAUGCAUCUAUGGAGUCUACUAGCAACGAGGGGAUAGGAGUGCAUCUACAUACCCUUGUAGAUCACGAGCGGAAGCGUUCCAAUGAACGUGGAUGACGGAGUCGUACUCGCCGUGAUCCAAAUCACCGAUGACCGAGUGCCGAACGUACGGCACCUCCGCGUUCAACACACGUACGGUGCAGCGACGUCUCCUCCUUCUUGAUCCAGCAAGGGGGGAGGAGAGGUUUAUGGAGAUCCAACAGCAUGACGGCGUGGUGGUGGAUGUAGCGGGUCUCCGGCAGGGCUUCACCAAGCUUCUGCGAGAGAGAGAGAGAGAGAGGUGUUGCAGGGGAGGAGGGAGGCACCCAAGGCUUAGAUAUUGCUGCCCUCCCUUCCCCCCACUAUAUAUAGGGCCAAGGGAGGGGGGGGGGCGCAGCCUUGCCCCUUCCUCCAAGGAAGGGUGCGGCCAGGGGGGAGUCCUUCCCCCCCAAGGCACCUCGGAGGUGCCUUCCCCCUUUAGGACUCUCCCUUUUUUCUUAUCUCUUGCGCAUGGGCCUCUUGCGGCUGGUGCCCUUGGCCCAUAUAGGCCAAGGCGCACCCCUUACAGCCCAUGUGCCCCCCUGGGGCUGGUGGACCCCCGGACCCCUUUCGGCACUCCCGGUACAAUACCGAUAAAGCGCGAAACUUUUCCGGCGACCAAAAUAAGACUUCCCAUAUAUAAAUCUUUACCUCCGGACCAUUCCGGAACCUCUCGUGACGUCCGGGAUCUCAUCCGGGACUCCGAACAACUUUUGGGUUUCCGCAUACAUAUAUCUCUACAACCCUAGCGUCACCGGACCUUAAGUGUGUAGACCCUACGGGUUCGGGAGACAUGCAGACAUGACCGAGACGCCUCUCCGGUCAAUAACCAACAGCGGGAUCUGGAUACCCAUGUUGGCUCCCACAUGUUCCACGAUGAUAUCAUCGGAUGAACCACGGUGUCGAGGAUUCAAUCAAUCCGUAUGCAAUUCCCUUUGUCAAUCGGUAUGUUACUUGCCCGAGACUCGAUCGUCGGUAUCCCAAUACCUUGUUCAAUCUCGUUACCGGCAAGUCUCUUUACUCGUACCGCAAUGCAUGAUCCCGUGACUAACGCCUUAGUCACAUUGAGCUCAUUAUGAUGAUGCAUUACCGAGUGGGCCCAGAGAUACCUCUCCGUCACACGGAGUGACAAAUCCCAGUCUCGAUCCGUGCCAACCCAACAGACACUUUCGGAGAUACCCGCAAUGCACCUUUAUAGUCACCCAGUUACGUUGUGACGUUUGGCACACCCAAAGCACUCCUACGGUAUCCGGGAGUUGCACGAUCUCAUGGUCUAAGGAAAAGAUACUUGACAUUGGAAAAGCUCUAGCAAACGAAACUACACGAUCUUUUAUGCUAUGCUUAAGUUGGGUCUUGUCCAUCACAUCAUUCUCCUAAUGAUGUGAUCCCGUUAUCAAUGACAUCCAAUGUCCAUAGUCAGGAAACCAUGACUAUCUAUUGAUCAACGAGCUAGUCAACUAGAGGCUUACUAGGGACAGGUUGUGGUCUAUGUAUUCACACAUGUAUUACGAUUUCCGGACAAUACAAUUAUAGCAUGAAUAAUAGACAAUUACCAUGAACAAAGAAAUAUAAUAAUAACCAUUUAUUAUUGCCUCUAGGGCAUAUUUCCAACAGUCUCCCACUUGCACUAGAGUCAAUAAUCUAGUUCACAUCACCAUGUGAUUAACACUCACUGGUCACAUCACCAUAUGACCAACAUCUAAAGAGUUUACUAGAGUCAACGAUCUAGUUCACAUCACUAUGUGAUUAUCACUCAAUGUGUUCUGGUUUGGUCAUGUUAUGCUUGUGAGAGAGGUUAUUAGUCAACGGGUCUGAACCUUUCAGAACCGUGUGCUUUACGAAUAUCUAUGUCAUCUUUGUGGAUGCUACCACGCGCUAUUUGGAGCCAUUUCAAAUAAUUGCUCUACUAUACGAAUCCGGUUUACUACUCAGAGUCAUCCGGAUUAGUGUCAAAGUUCGCAUCGACGUAACCCUUUACGACGAACUCCUUUCCACCUCCAUAAUCGAGAAAAUUCCUUAAUCCACUAGGUGCUAAGGAUAAGUUCGACCGCUGUCAUGAGAUCCUUUCCCGGAUCACCAUUGUACCCUCUUGACCAACUCAUGGCAAGGCACACUACAUGUGCGGUACACAGCAUAGCAUACUAUAGAGCCUAUGUCUAAAGCAUAGGGGACGACCUUCGUCCUUUCUCUAUCUUCUGCUGUGGUCAGGUCUUGAGUCUCACUCAAUACUCACACCUUGUAACACAGCCAAGAACUCCUUCUUUGCUGAUCUAUUUUGAACUCUUUCAAAAUCAUGUCAAGGUGUGCUGUCUUUUGAAAGUAUCAUCAGGCGUCUUGAUCUAUCUCUAUGGAUCUUGAUGCCCAAUAUGUAAGUAGCUUUAUCCAGGUCUUCCUUUGAAAAACUCCUUUCAAACAACCCUUUAUGCUUUCCAGAAAUUUUACAUCAUUUCGGAUCAUCAAUAUGUCAUUCACAUAUACUUAUCAGAAAUGUUGUAGCGCUCCCACUCACUUUAUUGUAAAUACAAGUUUCUAACAAACUUUGUAUAAACCCAAAAACUUUGAUCACUCCAUCAAAGCGUAUAUUCUGACUCCGAGAUGCUUGCUCUAAUCCAUGGAAGGAUCGCUGGAGCUAGCAUACCUUUUAGCAUCCUUAGGAUCGACAAAACCUUUCUGAUUGUAUCACAUACAACCUUUCCUUACGAAAACUGGUAAGGAAACUUGUUUUUGACAUCCAUCUGCCAGAUUUCAUAAAUGUAGCUAAUGCUAACAUGAUUCCGACGGACCUAAGCAUCGCUACGGAUGAGAAAAACUCAUCGUAGUCAACUCCUUGAACUUGUGAAAAUACUCUUUGCCACAAGUCGAGCUUCAUAGACGGUAACAUUACCGUCCAUGUCCGUCUUCUUCUUAAAGAUCCAUUUAUCUCAAUGGCUUGCCGAUCAUCGGGCAAGUUCACCAAAGUCCAUGCUUUGUUCUGAUACAUGGAUUCUAUCUCGGAUUUCAUGGCCUCGAGCCAUUCGUCGGAAUAUGGGCCUACCAUCACUUCUCCAUAGCUCGUAGGUUCAUUGUUGUCUAGCAACAUGACUUCCAAGACAGGAUCACACAUUACUCUGAAGUAGUGCGCAUCCUCGUCAUCCUACGAGGUUUGGUAGUGACUUGAUCCGAAGUUUCAUGAUCACUAUCAUAAGCUUCCACUUCAAUUGGUGUAGGUGCCACAGGAACAACUUCCUGUGCCCUGCUACACACUAGUUGAAGCGACGGUUCAAUAACCUUAUCAAGUCUCCACCAUCCUCCCACUCAAUUCUUUCGAGAGAAACUUUUCCUCGAGAAAGGACUCGUUUCUAGAAGCAAUUACUUUUGCUUCCAGAUAGGAGGUAUACCCAACUGUUUUUGGGUAUUCUAUGAAGAUGCAUUUAUCCUCUUUGGGUUCGAGCUUAUCAGCCUGAAACUUUUUCACAUAAGCAUCGCAGCCCCAAACUUUUAAGAAACGACAACUUAGGUUUCUAUACACGGUGUCGUCUCAACGGAAUUGCGUGGUGCCCCUUUUAAAGUGAAUGCGGUUGUCUCUAAUGCCUAACCCAUAAAUGAUAGUGGUAAUUUGAUAAGAAACAUCAUGGUAUGCACCAUAUCCAAUAGGGUGCAGUUAUGAUGUUCGGACACACCAUCACACUAUGGUGUUCCAGGCGGUAUUAAUUGUGAAACACUUUCCACAAUGUCUCAAUUGUGUGCCAAACUCGUAUCUCAGAUACUCAUCUCUAUGAUCAUAUCACAGACAUUUUAUCCUCUUGUCACGACGAUCUUCAACUUCACUCUGAAAUUGCUUGAACCUUUCAAUAAUUCAGACUAGUGUUUCAUCAAGUAAAUACACUCAGCAUCUACUCAAAUCAUCUGUGAAGUAAGAACAUAACGAUAUCCACUGCAUGCCUCAGCAUUCAUUGGACUGCAUACAUCAAAAUGUAUUACUUCCAAUAAAUUGCUCUCUUGUUCCAUCUCACUGAAAAUGAGGCCUUUCAGUCAUCUUGCCCAUGUGGUAUGAUUUGCAUGUCUCAAGUGAUUCAUAAUCAAGUGAGUCCAAACGAUCCAUCUGUAUGGAGUUUCUUCAUGCAUAUAUACCAAUAGACAUGGUUCGCAUGUCUCAAUCUUUUCAAAAAUGAGUGAGUCCAAAGAUCCACCUACAUGGAGCUUCUUCAUGCGUUCUACACCAAUAUGACUCAAGUGGCAGUGCCACAAGUAUGUGGUACUAUCAUUACUAUCUUAUAUCUUUUGGCAUGAACAUGUGUAUCACUACGAUCGAGAUUCAUUUUAGGUGCAAGACCAUUGAAGGUAUUAUUCAAAUAAACAGAGUAACCAUUAUUCUCCUUAAAUGAAUAACCGUUUUGCGGUAAACAUAAUCCAAUCAUGUUCAGCGCAACCACCAAAUCUCGAUGGUAGAGGGAGCUUGCGAUGCUUGAUCACAUCAACCUUUGAAACACUUCCAACACAUAUCGUCAUCUCACCUUUAGCUAGUCUCCAUUUAUUCCGCAGCUUUUAUUUCGAGUUACUAACACUUAGCAACCGAACCAGUAUCUAAUACCCUGGUGCUGCUAGGAGUACUAGUAAAGUACACAUUCAUAUAACGUAUAUCCAAUAUACUUUGUCGACCUUGCCUGCCUUCUCAUCUACCAAGUAUCUAGGGUAGUACUGCUUCAGUGACCGUUCCUCUCAUUACAGAAGCACUUAGUCUCGGGUUUGGGUUCAACCUUGGGAUUCUUCACUAGAGCAGCAAACGACUUGCUGUUUCAUGAAGUAUCCCUUUUGCCCUUGCCCUUCUUAAACUAGUGGUUUUACUAACCAUCAACAAUUGAUGCUCCUUCUUGAUUUCUACUCUCGCGGUGUCAAACAUCGCAAAUAGUUCAAGGAUCAUCAUAACUAUCCUUGAUAUGUUAUAGUUCAUCACGAAGCUCUACUAGCUUGGUGGCAGUGACUAUGGAGAACUAUCACUAUCUCAUCUGGGAGAUUAACUCCCACUCGAUUCAAGCGAUUGUGGCACUCAGACAAUCUGAGCACACGCUCAACGAUUGAGCUUUUCUCCCUUAGUUUGCAGGCUUAAGAAACUUGUCAGAGGUCUCAUACCUCUUGACGUGGGCACUAGUCUGAAAUCCCAAUUUCAGUCUUCGGAACAUCUCACAUGUUCUGCGACGUUUCAGAAAUGUCUUUGGUGCCACAAUUCUAAACCGCACCGAACUAUCACGUAGUUAUCAAAACGUGUAUGUCAGAUGUUUUGUAACAUCUACAGACGACGCUGAGGUUCAGCACACCGAGCGGUGCAUUAAGGACAAAAGCCUUCUGUGCAGCAAUGAGGACAAUCCUCAGUUUACGGACCCAGUCCGCAUAAUUUCUACUACCAACUUUCAACUAAAUUUUCUCUAGGAACAUAUCUUAACCAGUAGAACUAAAGCGCAAGCCAUGACAUAAUUUGCAAAUACUUUUUGACUAUGUUCAUGAUAAUGAAGUUCAUCUGAUUAUGAACUCCCACUCAGAUAGACAUCCCUCUAGUCAUCUAAGUGAAACAUGAUCCGAGUUCAACUAGGCCGUGUCCGAUCAUCACGUGAGACGGACUAGUCAAGAUCGGUGAACAUCUCCAUGUUGAUCGUAUCUUCUAUACGACUCAUGCUCGACCUUUCGGUCCUCCGUGUUCCGAGGCCAUGUCUGUACAUGCUAGGCUCGUCAAGUCAACCUAAGUGUAUUGCGUGUGUUCCGAGGCCAUGUCUGUACAUGCUAGGCUUGUCAACACCCGUUGUAUUCGAACGUAAGAAUCUAUCACACCCGAUCAUCACGUGGUGCUUCGAAACGACGAACCUUCGCAACGGUGCACAGUUAGGGUGAACACUUUCUUGAAAUUAUUAUAAGGGAUCAUCCUACUUGCUACCGUCGUUCUAAGCAAAUAAGAUGCAAAAACAUGAUAAACAUCACAUGCAAUCAAAUAGUGACAUGAUAUGGCCAAUAUCAUCAUGCUCCUUUGAUCUCCAUCUUCAGGGCACCAUGAUCAUCUUUGUCACCGGCAUGACACCAUGAUCUCCAUCAUCAUGAUCUCCAUCAUUGUGUCUUCAUGAAGUUGCCACGCCAACGAUUACUUCUACUUCUAUGGCCAACUCGUUUAGCAACAAAGUAAAGUAAUUUACAUGGCGUUAUUCAAUGACUCGCAGGUCAUGCAAAAUAAUAAAGACAACUCCUAUGGCUCCUGCCGGUUGUCAUACUCAUCGACAUGCAAGUCGUGAUUCCUAUUACAAGAAUAUGAUCAAUCUCAUACAUCACAUAUAUCAUUCAUCACAUCUUCUGGCCAUAUCAUAUCACAUAACACUUGCUGCAAAAACAAGUUAGACGUCCUCUAAUUGUUGUUGCAAGUUUUUACGUGGUUUGUAGGUUUCUAGCAAGAACGUUUCUUACCUACGUAUGACCAAACGCGAUUUACCAAUUUCUAUUUACCCUUCAUAAGGACCCUUUUCAUCGAAUCUGUUCCGACUAAAGUAGGAGAGACAGACACCCGCUAGCCACCUUAUGCAUCUAGUGCAUGUCAGUCGGUGGAACCUGUCUCACGUAAGAGUACGUGUAAGGUCGGUCCGGGCCGCUUCAUCCUACAAUGCCGCCGAAACAAGAAAAGACUAGUAGCGGCAAGAAGAAUUGGCAAACUCAACGCCCACAACUACUUUGUGUUCUACUCGUGCAUAGUAACUACGCAUAGACCUGGCUCAUGAUGCCACUGUUGGCUCUGUAGCAUAAUUUAAAAUUUUCCUACGCUCACCAAGAUGCAUCUAUGGAGUCUACUAGCAACGAGGGGAUAGGAGUGCAUCUACAUACCCUUGUAGAUCGCGAGCGGAAGCGUUCCAAUGAACGUGGAUGACGGAGUCGUACUCGCCGUGAUCCAAAUCACCGAUGACCGAGUGCCGAACGUACGGCACCUCCGCGUUCAACACACGUACGGUGCACCCCUUACAGCCCAUGUGCCCCCCUGGGGCUGGUGGACCCCCGGACCCCUUUCGGCACUCCCGGUACAAUACCGAUAAAGCGCGAAACUUUUCCGGCGACCAAAAUAAGACUUCCCAUAUAUAAAUCUUUACCUCCGGACCAUUCCGGAACCUCUCGUGACGUCCGGGAUCUCAUCCGGGACUCCGAACAACUUUCGGGUUUCCGCAUACAUAUAUCUCUACAACCCUAGCGUCACCGGACCUUAAGUGUGUAGACCCUACGGGUUCGGGAGACAUGCAGACAUGACCGAGACGCCUCUCCGGUCAAUAACCAACAGCGGGAUCUGGAUACCCAUGUUGGCUCCCACAUGUUCCACGAUGAUAUCAUCGGAUGAACCACGGUGUCGAGGAUUCAAUCAAUCCGUAUGCAAUUCCCUUUGUCAAUCGGUAUGUUACUUGCCCGAGACUCGAUCGUCGGUAUCCCAAUACCUUGUUCAAUCUCGUUACCGGCAAGUCUCUUUACUCGUACCGCAAUGCAUGAUCCCGUGACUAACGCCUUAGUCACAUUGAGCUCAUUAUGAUGAUGCAUUACCGAGUGGGCCCAGAGAUACCUCUCCGUCACACGGAGUGACAAAUCCCAGUCUCGAUCCGUGCCAACCCAACAGACACUUUCGGAGAUACCCGCAAUGCACCUUUAUAGUCACCCAGUUACGUUGUGACGUUUGGCACACCCAAAGCACUCCUACGGUAUCCGGGAGUUGCACGAUCUCAUGGUCUAAGGAAAAGAUACUUGACAUUGGAAAAGCUCUAGCAAACGAAACUACACGAUCUUUUAUGCUAUGCUUAAGUUGGGUCUUGUCCAUCACAUCAUUCUCCUAAUGAUGUGAUCCCGUUAUCAAUGACAUCCAAUGUCCAUAGUCAGGAAACCAUGACUAUCUGUUGAUCAACGAGCUAGUCAACUAGAGGCUUACUAGGGACAGGUUGUGGUCUAUGUAUUCACACAUGUAUUACGAUUUCCGGACAAUACAAUUAUAGCAUGAAUAAUAGACAAUUACCAUGAACAAAGAAAUAUAAUAAUAACCAUUUAUUAUUGCCUCUAGGGCAUAUUUCCAACAAUUCUAUGAUUAUGAGAUAUGGCAAAUGGACGUCAAAAUGGCAUUCCUUAAUGGUUUCCUUAAGAAGAAUUGUAUAUGAUGCAGCCGUAAUAUUUUGUGAUCCUAAGAAUGCUGACAAGGUAUGCAAGCUCCAGCGCUCAAUCUAUGGGCUGGUGCAAGCAUCUCGGAGUUGGAACAUUCGCUUUGAUGAGAUGAUCAAAGCGUUUGGGUUUACACAGACUUAUGGAGAAGCUUGUGUUUACAAGAAAGUGAGUGGGAGCUCUGUAGCAUUUCUCAUAUUAUAUGUGGAUGACAUACUAUUGAUGGGAAAUGAUAUAGAAUUCUUGGAAAGCAUAAAGGCCUACUUGAAUAAGUGUUUUUCAAUGAAGGACCUUGGGGAAGCUGCUUACAUAUUAGGCAUCAAGAUCUAUAGAGAUAGAUCGAGACACACGGAGCAUAUGAGAUGUUCCAAGAGCUGAAAAUGGUUUUCCAAGCUCAUGCCCGAGUCGAGAUAUAUGAAGUCUCCAACAAGUUCUACAGUUGUAAGAUGGAGGAGAAUAGUUCUGUCAGCAAGCACAUACUCAAAAUGUCUGGGUUGCACAACCGCUUGUCUCAGCUGGGAGUUAAUCUCCAGGAUGACGCGGUCAUUGACAGAAUCCUUCAGUCCCUUCCACCUAGCUACAAGAGCUUUGUGAUGAAUUUCAAUAUGCAGGGGAUGGAGAAAACCAUUCCUGAGGUAUAUUCAAUGCUGAAAUCAGCGGAGGUGGAGAUCAAAAAGAACAUCAAGUGUUGAUGGUCAAUAAAACCACUAGUUUCAAGAAAGGCAAGGGUAAGAAGAACUUCAAGAAGGACGACAAGGGAGUUGCCGCGCCCGGUAAGCCAGUUGCCGGGAGGAAGCCAAAGCAUGGACCCAAACCUAAGGCUAAGUGCUUUUAUUGCAAGGGAAACGGUCACUGGAAGCGGAACUGCCCCAAGUACUUAGCGGAUAAGAAGGCCGGCAAUACCAAAGGUAUAUAUGAUAUACAUGUUAUUGAUGUGUACCUUACCAGCACUCGUACUAUCUCCUGGGUAUUCGAUACCGGUGCGGUUGCUCAUAUUUGUACCUCAAAACAGGAGCUGCGGAAUAAGCGGAGACUGGCGAAGGAUGAGGUGACGAUGCGCGUCGGUAAUGGUUCCAAGGUCGAUGUGAUCUCCGUCGGCACGCUACCUCUACAUUUACCUACGGGAUUAGUUUUAAACCUCAAUAAUUGUUAUUUAGUGCCAGCUUUGAGCAUGCACAUUGUAUCUGGAUCUCGCUUAAUGCGAGAUGGCUACUCAUUUAAAUCUGAGAAUAAUGGUUGUUCUAUUUAUAUGAGAGAUAUGUUUUAUGGUCAUGCCCCGCUGGUCAAUGGUUUAUUCUUAUUGAAUCUCGAACAUGAUGUUACACAUAUUCAUAGUGUGAAUGCCAAAAGAUCUAAGGUUGAUAAUGAUAGUCCCACAUACUUGUGGCACUGCCGCCUUGGUCACAUUGGUAUCAAACGCAUGAAGAAACUCCAUGCAGAUGGACUUUUGGAGUCUCUUGAUUAUGAAUCAUUUGACACGUGCGAACCAUGCCUCAUGGGCAAAAUGACCAAGACUCCGUUCUUCGGAACAAUGGAGCGAGCAACCAACUUAUUGGAAAUCAUACAUACUGAUGUGUGCUGUCAAAUAAGAAAAGGCAAUUUUCCUUAUUUAAUUAUGGCCAAUAUAUUUGCCGGAGCUUGGAUUAGGCAUAAAUAUCAACUCCACCAAUUCUCAUGAAUUUAGGAGAGGACUAGAUAUGCCUUGGGAUUUUAUUCCUCAGAAAGGCAAGAAAAGGAAUAAAUCAUAAUUCAAAAAUAUUGCAUAAGACUUAGCAAUAUUUUUGCAUAUCCAAGGAUUAGAGGGAUUGGAGGGUCUCUGGGAACAGAUGGGAUGAUCAACAGAUCAAGGAAAAUGAUGGCUUCUUUGUAAUCACAAAGGCCACAUUCAAAUUCCAACAAUUUGGAAUUAGGGUUUGAGAGGGUUUGAGCUGAUGCAAAUGAGGUCUUGCCCACUGACAAAUACACGAGCAAGGUUUUGAAAGGUUGGAAAUGGCAAGAAGUCUCAGAGUCAUCCAGCAAACUCAGGAGAAAAAUUGAAAAAUGAUUGCCAGGAAGGAAUAACUGCACAAAAAUUGAUAACCCAAUUUUGGGGCUCUUAAAAACCUUCCGUCCUUAAAAAGAAUCUCGUCCUCGAGAUUCCUAGGGUUACAGCACAAAUGAAAGGAUAACCACUCCGGGGAAAAACCUCUGGGUUAAUUUUAACCCUUUGGUCAGAUUCAAACGAGUUGGGGCACCGAUAAUUGGUACACCUAGGGAGAGAUAUGAGAAAACACGGUUAUAUCCACGGCUAGGGGCACUCGAGAUCAAACUCUCAAAAAUUGCUAGAUGCAGGUGAGGUGGCUGCGCCAGCUCAGGAAUCACGCUAGGGUACGAGGGAAAAUUUUGCGGAUUGCUCCACGAAAAGGUAGGUGUCGGGCUAGAAUCGGAGUUGACAUCUGUAUUGGGGUAGAUGUACUGGAUCGAAUAAAGUUGGCAGUGUUCCUCCGAAAAUGAAAUCGGGAAAAAGAAUUAGAGACGAGGAACUGCCAGACGGAAAUGCCUCUGCGAGGCUCUGGGUUUAGAAAUCCGGCACACUGGGUAUGCACAGAGAGGGAUAUGUGACUUUGCAUUCCCCCGAGUACUGCCCGAAUGUACUCGUGGGUGAACCGGGUAUGCGUGCAGUAUGCAGUACAAACAAACUAACAAACAGACCGAUGCAACAAACAUGCAAUGAAAACACAGCAGACAAAUCAUUCUAAGGUGUUUUAAUGCGAGUGGGCAUAUGUAAUCCUGGCAUACAUAUACCUACACCAACGCGCAUUUUAAUAGAGACUCGGGACGAGCCAAUGUUGUUUUCAGUGUAUGUGUCGUACUGAUUAAAAUCUUGUUAGCACACAUUGCCAACCCUGUCAAACAUCUUUGUUUGACAGAGAGACAAACAAAACAAGCACAAAAACAAAAGCACGAAAACAAACAUAGAACACAGCAUACGGAUUACAGCAGCACUAGCAUACAACAAAGCACGAACGCUCUACGCGCUAAACGAAACUACUCACUCCGGGAUACAUAGUUCUAUCCUCCUAUCGAGGAUGAACAGACAGACUGACCUACUCGUAGAUUCAUCUCACUGCGUGACUGAGGUGAUGCAGGGGACUGGCCUUGUUGGGGCUCUGCUAGAGGAUGAAGACUAAGCCAAUCUCCAUCUUCAUCGUCCGGCACUACUAUGGGUUGGGGUUCGACUGCUGGAGGUGUGACUGAAAUCGAUCCAAGCAAAUGCUGCUGGUGGAUCCGUAAAAGAGCCUUGUCGAGGGUGAUGAUGUUUGGCAUGGGCCACAACACAGGCUGAGAGGGUAGCACUGGUUCGGAUGCCAUGGGAUGAACGGCUUGGGAUGCGAAUUUACGAGCCUCGCGAUAAGCUUCCUUGACAACUCGUACCGCAUCGUUGUCCAGGGUUCUAAACUCGGCAAGCAUCUUGGAAAUCAUCAUCCCCUGGGUAGUGAUAUAGUGCACCAGGCGAGCGGUUGUGGGGUCAUCGCCUUGGAUAGUGGGAGAAGGCUGCAUUCCUGCUUCUGCCACAAUGGGGGAAAAGCAGAACUCCCGCCUUGUUGCCACAUGCGGGAACUUGGUUCGGAGGUGUAGGAUAGCCUCCACAGCAGCGGCCUGAAUGGCUAAAUCAGUGGUAGGGCAUGGUUCUACCCUGAAAAACCAACGGCUGGCCAUCUACUGCGGGACCUGGGCCGAUGUGCACUCUUGCAUCAUAGCGAUGAAGGUGAGGGACAGGUGUCAACUGGAACACCAGGUAAUUGGGGCUAGCCUUACAGCCAAAGGCUUUGGUGAGCAUCUCGGUAAGAAGGGGUGGAAAGCCAGUGUGGUUGACGGCACAGGUGUGGGUGUAAUACUUGGGAGCUUUGAGGGUGCUAGCCAUGGCUGGGGUGUUGCUAGCUAGGCUUCUCUGCAGGGACAUGGCUGACUGAGGGUUGAGCGAUCCGGCUAGCGGGAAGGGGUUUUAUAGGCAGUUAUGCGGGACAUGCCCACAUGGUGUGGCCCCUUUCCCUUAAUGGCGAAGGGAAAGUGGUGUGGCCGACCAGAAAGGAUAGGGUUGUUAUUCGUUCCACGGAUAACUAGGCGGGGACAGCGGGGUGAGGAUGUGUCGGUCCCGACUGCGCCACAUGUUGAUUAACAAUGGCCAUGUCGAAUGCCAGGGAUGGGUCAAAUCCCUUAGGGUCAUUACGGUUUAAUGGUAGUGGUGAUCUAAUGCUAGGAUAACCUAUGCCAGCCUGGCUGCUCUGAUACCAUCUCCUAUGGCACCCUGAUCCGCAUGGAGCAGGGGGCCUUCGCACGUCAGCCCAGGAUAACACCUGACGCACGACAGGUCCAUGAUACAGCAUUCCAGGUACAAUAAUAUUCAUCAAAUACAUGUGUAUAAGAUUACAUCAUUGAUGAAUACAAUUAUCUGGCAUAGCCCUAAGGCUAUUUAAAUGGCAACGGGAGUCUAUUUAAAUGGCGGCGGAAGUCUUGGUUUGGCUGCGUCUCACUCUGGUUGGGCUCCAUAACUCACAGGACUGGCAAGAUUACGGCCUAGCAUGACGGAACAAGCGAACAAGUUGGGCACGACCUACAAAACUGGCAUGACAUGCCAGGUCAGUACAUUGAAUGUACUUGCAAGACAACCAGAUACAUAGCAUCUAAACAAACAGAUGACAAAGCAAGAAGCAAGCAUAUGCAACAGUCUACUUCAACACAACUCCUAAGCAUGGCAUGAUAUUAACUAGAAUCAUAAAUCAAAAGAAGCAUGAAUAACAGCAUAGCAUCUACUAGCAGGGCAUACCAAAUUUACUUCCAACAUAACAACAGCAACGCAUAACACAUCAAAACAUGGCAUGGCGUCAUGAAACUAUGCUGGAAAUAAACUACCAGUUACCUUCCGUGAAGACAUGCUGUAUUAACCUUAUGCAACAAUCACUUACUCUGCCACGGCUCCUCGGAGCACAUGCAUGACUUACCAAGACCUCGUCUCGGGGUCAUAUCAACACAUCAUCGUGACUUCUCACGAUCUUCCCAUAGUCCAAGUCAUCACAUGAUUUAGCACAUUUUAAUUAUCACACAAGUUAUUAGCAGAUUUAUCCUCCAUUUCAACCAAGACCUGAUAGUGUGACCUACUAUGAACUUGUGCCCAUGACCGAGGACGCGGCUAUCGAUAGAUUAAAUACACUCUGUAGAGGUAGCGCACUUUACCCACACUACGGAACCCUGGCCUCGCACUCCCAUACGUGCGGACCACGAUGUUCCGACAAAACCGAGCUACUACCAUGACACUCUCCCGGCCACUCCGACCAACACCCCCUUGGGGUUCAGUCCUGGGUUGCCUCGUGUCUACCAAAGACACAACGGCCACCGUCGUGGCAAAACGGUCCCAAACGGGGACAAGGUACCAUAAAAACAAAAACGAGCACACAAGGUUAUGUCUGCCUACCUGAUCAGGGUAGUGCGUGCCCAUAACCUUCCCUCGCGGGAGGCACCGGCAAGAGGCAUGACAAUAGACCCAGCUAGGACCUUUCCAUAAGGUAAAUGUGGUUGCACUGGAGAAAGCUCGACUUGGGUGGCACUAUGAUAUCCCAGUGAUGACGGAGGGGUUUUUAUAUUAAGUCAUAUUAUUACCUUCUCCAUCAUCAAUCAUCAUGCGAGCAUUAUUAACAUGAAUGCAACAACUAACAUGCAACAUACCGAUGCAGUAACAAAACAUCAAGCAUUUCAAAAGAACAAUGAGAGCAUGCGAAGCAUGGCAAUACCAAGUACUAGCAAACUUACCAGUGCAACAGAAACAUAACAUCGAUACUACUAACAUGAAAACUAGACAGAGGCCUGAUAUUAUCAGUAACAACAUCAAACUAGCAUGGCAACAUAUUUAAUGAAAACUCAAGCAUGCACGGCAGAUAACAAAAUUAUUUAGCACGACUGAAAUAACAGCAGACGAAACAUACAGGAAACUACGGCAACUAAACACACACACGAGGUGCAAGCAAAGUCAACAUGCAAGUUCGGGGCUCAUGAUAAGAGGUUGGCUUCCCUGGGGGUCGGGGAUUACUCCGGAAAAAGUGUGAAACGAUCGCGAAAAGGGUUGCCGGAAACAGUUCUCUCUCGGAGGGGGCUGUUUACGUGCAAGGGCAAAGUGGUCAUUUUCACUGUGUGAAAACAUUAUGAAAAUGAUACCAACGGAAAGAGCUCAACGAGACGAAGAUGUGAGCGUUGGAAUCACCUCAAUCGGAGUUACGGUUGCGGAGUUAUGAAGUGAUGAAGGUCAGGGACCUAUCUGUGAAGAAUUUCUACAAACAGGCCCCUGAGCUGAAAAACAGAAAGCACAUUUAGUUGAAUAUGCCUUCUCAGCAGAGAAAAUGAAUUUCUAGCCGUAGUUAAGUGAAAAUACGCUUUCCCGAAAGGAGACAGGUGGGCUCGCGUGGGGAGAGGGGCCCGCCUGGCCAACUGGCUGGGUGUCGUCUUCCUCCUCGCGCCUGUUCCCCUCGUGAAGCAGAGGAGGAACAGGGGAGGGAAGAGGCGAGGGGGCCGGCCGACCUAGGCCAGCUCCAGCCAAGGGAAGGGCACGGGCGGCUGCGGCAUGGCCUGCCGCGCCCGUUCAGAGGAGCGGCGGCCGCCUGGGAGGCGCGGGGAGGCGGCGCCGGGAGGAGGCAGGGAGCAGCGGCGGUGGUCGACCUAUGGAGGCGCGAGACCACAACCGCUCCGGCGUAGAGAGGAGGGGGUGGGGAGGAGCGCCAGAGUGGUGGGGGUCUACUGGUGGUUCCAGAGUGGAGGGAGGAGGCAUGGCUCGAGCGAAUUUAGGCCGAGUCCGGCGGUGGGCACGGCGGCCAUGGGGAUGGGGAAGGGUCAGAGAGCUCCUCGAGCUCGAGCUAGUGGUUCGGGGGCAUUGUGGACUGCGAGGAGGCUCGGGGUCGCUACUUAUAGCCGCGGGGACGAGCUCUAGAGGGAGGGGCGAGGUGACAUGCGGCGGGCGACGUGUCCGUGCACCGGCGAUGCGCACACGCGGCCAAAGGUCACGGGGAGCAGUGAGAAGGCGAUGAAGGGGAUGCGGACGACGCGCAGGAGGUCACGGGGACGAGCAACACUCGCGGACGAACGGGGAAAGAGGACAUGGGCGAAGAAGACGAGGGUGCACACGGGCGGACGAACGGGGAAAGAGGACUGUGCGGCGACGACGACGGCUUGACGAGGAAGAUAACCAAGGGGGAAACGGGCCAAGGUGCACGGUGACGAUGAGGCUGAGCUGGUUGACAAGCUUGGACGAGCCAGAGCCAGCCGGAGCUGCGAUACUGUGGCCAACAGUGCGCAGACCACCGAUUUGGCCUGCAUAGCCCCGUGGUCACCACCGACAUCGCGCUCUCUGGUCGUCUACUUGGUGCCAAAUGAUGUCUACAGCGUAGUCCUUCCAAAGCUAAUUAAGACUGAGGUGAUGGCACAGGCAGAGGUGAAGGGGGCAGAGGGAACCAAGCUCGACAAGUUUCCUGUUGCAAACUUGGCCACAUCUUGGUGAUUAACCUAGUGAGCUUAAGGACUAAACUUAAUAUCUAGGGGGUUUAGGCUAGUAAGGACUACGGUCCUGGGAAGUUGGAGGGGAAUUGGGCAAGGAUUUAGCAUAGCUGCAGUGCAACUAGGAAAUAUGGCCCAGAAAACAAAUGAUGAAGAAGCACUCACUAGGAGUGUUGGAUUGAGCUAAAACUUGGCAAAGCUUCCUGAUUUAGUCAUAUGUAGAUGCUGCAAAAAUAUCAUACCAAAUGGAGUUGCCAAAUUGGUACUUGUUUCACAAGCAUCACAUCUGACCAGAAACUUUGAAAAAAUCCAGGAAAAUAUUAGCUACAUGAACUGAGCCAAAAUUUGUUGGAGAUAGGUUAUAUGGAUAGGAGAAAGCUUGGAAAUAUUUUCAGCCAUAAUGGAGCAAGAUAAAAUAUACUUGCUUCAUAAACUGAAAAUUUGGACAGAAUCAAAGAAUUGUUCUUGUGCUCACAUAGUUCAAGGGAUGAUCUGAAUUUUGGAUGAGGGUGAUGAUAUGGUCAUUAGAGACUGCUGGAAAAGUUUCAUCUCAUUUUGACCAUCUAUGAGGGUACUUCCUUCACAGACAAGCAAUCUGAACAGAAACUUUGAAAAAUUGCACAGGGAGCUAGGAUGAAUGGAUUGAGCUCAUCUUUGAUACCCAUGGGUAAUUUAUCAAGGUUAAUCACCCUGACAAAUUGCAGCUCAAUUGGAAUUAGGAAUAAAGCACUUCCUUUGCAAAAAUUUCAGAGAGGGCAGAAACUUGCAUUGGAUCAUGUGCUCAAAUUAUGAUCUUUGGAGCAUGGGUUUGGAUGGAAAUGGUGAAGAUAUAUCAAGUACAAGCUCCACAAAUUAUUUGGGAAUUUUCCUUGCUAUAAAAAUGGUAGCUCCUUUGGAAACAGGCAAGAAUGCAAUAUUGGCUUAAAAUAAGAAAAGGCAAUUUUCCUUAUUUAAUUAUGGCCAAUAUAUUUGCCAGUGCUUGGAUUAGGCAUAAAUAUCAACUCCACCAAUUCUCAUGAAUUUAGGAGAGGACUAGAUAUGCCUUGGGGUUUUAUUCCUCAGAAAGGCAAGAAAAGGAAUAAAUCAUAAUUCAAAAAUAUUGCAUAAGACUUAGCAAUAUUUUUGCAUAUCCAAGGAUUAGAGGGAUUGGAGGGUCUCUGGGAACAGAUGGGAUGAUCAACAGGUCAAGGAAAAUGAUGGCUUCUUUGUAAUCACAAAGGCCACAUUGAAAUUCCAACAGUUUGGAAUUAGUGUUUGAGAGGGUUUGAGCUGAUGCAAAUGAGGUCUUGCCCACUGACAAAGACAUGAGCAAGGUUUUGAAAGGUUGGAAAUGGCAAGAAUUCUCAGAGUCAUCCAGCAAACUCAGGAGAAAAUUUGAAAAAUGAUUGCCAGGAAGGAAUAACAGCACAAAAAUUGAUAACCCAAUUUUGGGGCUGUUACACUUUCUAUGGAUAAUCACAACAAAACUGUAUUUUGGAACGUGCGUGGCCUCAACAGCAAAGCCAAGCGCACUGCUGUCCGCACCGUCGUUACCUCCUCCUCCCCCCUAGUGGUCUGUCUCCAAGAGACCAAACUGGCCUUGGUCACGCCUAACAUUGUCCUCGAGACUCUCGACGCUAGCUUUGCUGACUUCUACUUCCUGCCCGCGUCGGGAACGCGCGGCGGAAUUCUCCUCGCUUGGCGCAGUGACAUGAUCGCACUCGCCAACCCCGUCAUUGGAGCGCACCAUGUUUCCGCGACUGUCUCCUCCCUGUCGGGCAGCAACACGUGGUGGCUGACCGGUGUCUAUGGACCUCAAAGCAUCCCUGACAAGCUCGCGUUCCUCUCCGAGCUGCACGACCUACGCGACUUCAUCUCUGGACCAUGGAUUCUCGGAGGAGAUUUCAACAUGGUCACUUCUAUCACGGAUAAAAACAUGGGCCGCGUCAAUCACCGGACCAUGAACCAGUUCUGACGUUUCAUCACCGACGACGCCCUACGGGAUAUCUACCUCCACGAUCGGCGCUUCACGUGGUCUAAUGAGCAAGAUCACCCCAUCCUCGUCCGCAACGACCGAAUCCUCGCCACGCCCUCUUGGGAGACAUGCAACCCCACCACAUCUUGCACUGCUUGGCCUCCGCGGCUUCGGACCACUGCCCUCUUGUCCUCGACUGCUCGCCGCGCGAUCGAGGCGCACCUCGCUUCCAUUUCGAGCGUUUCUGGACUAGACUUGAAGGUUUCCAUCAAAUUGUCUCUCCUGCGUAGCACUCUGACGACCCUGACCCAUUCCGAAGAAUUUAUGCACGACUCAAGGCCACGGCUCGAGCACUGCGGAGCUGGAGCUCGCGCUCGACUAGCAGCAUCUCCACGUAACUCCUCGUCUCCCACGAGCUGAUCUAUCGUCUUGAUAGCGCCGAAGACAUGCGCCCUCUCUCCGACAGCGAGACGUGCCUCCGGCGAGAACUAAAGCGCAAGUACCUAGGACUUGCAUCUCUCGAGCGCUGCAUUGUACGCAAACGCGCGCGGUUUUCCUGUCUCAAGGAGGGGGAUACCAAUACUGCAUUCCUCAAAGCCCAUGCCACUCACAGGAGCCAGAAAAACUUCAUCUUCGGCUUUCACCAUGAGGGUUACUUCGUCAGCGACGACCCUGGCAUGGCCCGUGCGGCCUUCUCCCACUUCAGCACCACCAUGGGCUCCCAGGCCUUGCGCGAGCACACGCUCGACCUGUGCAGCCUCGACUCUCGCCGCUUCGACCUCUUGCCUCUCAAAGAGCCUUUCACUGAGGAAGAGAUUUGGCACGCGGUCAAGAUGCUGCCCACCGGCAAGGCGCCGGGUCCGGACGGCUUCACGGCGGAGUUCCUCCGCUCUUGCCGGGCCAUUAUCAAGGAUGAUAUCUGCGCCGCGUUUGACAAGCCUUACGCUUUGAACGGCAUGGGAUUCCGCAAGCUCAACGAGGCGCUCCUUACCCUGCUACCCAAGAAACCUGACGCGUCGACGAUCGCGGACUACAGGCCCAUCAGCCUCAUCCACCUUGUCGCAAAACUUUUUGCCAAGGUGCUCUCCCUCCGUCUUGCGCCGCUGCUCCGUGACAUGGUCUCCACCAACCAGAGCGCAUUCAUCGCUGGUAGAAGCGUGCAUGACAACUUCCUUCUCGUCCAGCAAACGGCGAGGUUGCUCCACAACCUUAAGGCGCCGUGCGUUCUCCUCAAGCUAGACAUUGCGAAGGCCUUCGACACUUUGGCAUGGACAUUCCUCCUUGAGACGCUGCGGCACCUUGUCUUCGGCCGACGUUGGUGCGAAUGGAUUUCGAUCCUCCUCUCCACCGCCUCCACACGCGUCCUUAUCAACGGUAGCCCGGGACCGCCGAUCUCCCACGCCCAAGGCCUGCGCCAAGGCAACCCGGUCUCCCCCAUGCUCUUCACCCUGGUGAUUGACAAGCUUAACUCGCUCCUCGAAUUCGCCACGCAACAGGGCGUCCUCAAGCGGCUCACACCUCGCCACGCCGCCUCGAGUAUCUCCAUGUUCGCCGAUGAUGUGGUGAUCUUCUGCCACCCAGAAACGCAUGAGCUUAACAUCAUCAAGCUGCUCCUCGAAGCUUUCGGCCACGCCUCUGGCUUUCGGACUAACUUCCUCAAAUGCUCGGCUUCCCCCAUCCGAUGCACCAAGGACCAGCUUGACACCAUUGCGGCAACCAUGGCUUGCCCGCUCACGGUCUUCCCCAUCAAGUACCUGGGGUUGCCCCUCUCUACACGCAAGGUGCCAGCUUCGGCGCUACUACCUAUCGUCGACAAACUUCACAAGAAGCUGGCUUCUUGGAAAGCUUCCCUCCUGUCACGCGGCCAGCGCCUCGCCCUCGCUCGCCACGUCCCCUCCGCCCUGCCGGUGCAUAUCUUACUCGCGCUGGCAAUCAACCCCUCCAUUCUCAAGAAGAUCAACCGGCUCAUCCGCGACUUUCUCUGGCACGGCAACAAGGACGCGCACCAUGGCUCUUGCAUCGUGUCCUGGCAAAAGGUGUGUUGCCCCCUGUCCCUCGGCGGCCUGGCGAUCCGUGACCUGCACUGCACCGGUGUUGCGAUGCACACGCACUGGAUCUGGUUGCAACACACUGACCCCUCGUGCACCUGGAAGCACCUUCACCUGCCAUCCGACCCCGAGGCGUCUCAACUCUUCCGUGCCUCCACAACUUGGGUGCUCGGCGACGGCAACACAUGCAAAUUCUGGCAUGACCAUUGGCUUCAUGGCAAAUCUAUUCUGGAGAUCGCGCCAACUCUGUCCUCCCUCAUCCCGAGGCGGCGCAAAAGGCAGAGACUUGUGCGCGAAGCGCUCACCGAUCGUGGCUGGAUCACGGGCAUCCAUGGCACCUUAAACCCACUUGCGGUCAUCGAGUACGUCCAUCUUUGGGGUCUACUCCAGGGCAUCAUGCUCUCCGAUGAGCCGGACCGCCAAAUCUGGAGGUGGACUGCCAACGGCAGCUACUCAGCGCGGUCGGCCUACCACGCGCUCUUUCUUGGAGCCACCACCGCGCCUCACUGGCAGCUCAUCUGGAAAACCUGGGCUCCCUCCAAUGCUAAGAUAUUCCUCUGGCUUGCCUCCCUCAACCGCUCCUGGACCGCGAACCGCCGAGCACGGCACGGCUUGCCGCGCGACCCCGUCUGCAUGCUCUGUGGUCAGGACGACGAGACCCUCCACCACCUCCUAGUUGGUUGUGUCUUCUCGCGCAUGGCUUGGCACGACGUUUUGGCUUGGUGCCGCACGCCAGCACCCCCCCCCCCCCGACGGCACCACCGGCUUCUUCGAGUGGUGGACCGCUACCAGUGUCCCAACAUGCCUACGCAAGGGCAUCAACUCCCUGGUCGUCCUCACCUCCUGGGCCAUAUGGAAGCAUCACAACGCCAUCCUCUUCGACAACGCAUCUCCCAACCUCCACACCCUCCUCGACGACAUCAAGCAGGAAGCAAAAUUAUGGGCCAGAGCCGGCGCAAAAGGGCUCGACCGGAUUAUUCCUGUAACAUAAACAUGUAACAGCGAGGCUGAGCAUCCUCAUCCCUCCCUGCUCACCCUGCGCGUCUGGGCAUCGCCAUCUUGCGUACGCUAUCCAGGGCACCAACCUUUGUACUCACCUCCCAACCUAUCAAUGGAAUGAUACGCAAUCUUGCGUAUUCGAGAUUUUUUUUCUCCUCUCCUGUUUUAUUCCACUACUUGCUUGCUAUAAUUAAUUGGAGGCAAUUGCUAGCUCCUGUUUCUUGACUUAGAGCAAUUCGUUUAUCUUCAAAUACUAGCUCCAUUGUUCAUAGCAAGAGGUACAUGGCGACCCUUUCCCAAGAAACAGAAGUAAAGAAUGAGAUCACACCUUUUUAGGGGGGUGUUUGUUUCCAGGGACUUUUUGGUAUAGGGACUAGAAAAAGUCCCUCUUAGAGACUUUUUAACCAAACAGGAGGGACUACUAGGGACUAAAAGUUGCUUUUUGGGACUAAAUGAAGAAGACUCUCAAGGAGAGUCUUUUUGGGACUUUUUGAGACUUUUCCAACAAUGCCCUUCCAUGCACCCAUUGGCCCGCCGCCCCAUGGUGUUGUUUGGUUGUUAUUUCUCUGUAUACUAGGGGUAACAUGGUCAUUUAAUAACCUCUAGGGAGGGACUAGAGACUUUUUAGUCCCUGGAAACAAACAGUGAGGGACUUUUUAGGGACUAGGGACUUUUUAGUUGGGACUAGAAAAAGUCCUAAGACUUAUGAACCAAACAGGGCCUUAAUUCUGUGUAGAUUAAAUUUACGGCACCUUUCGAUGUUACAUUUUGGUUAUUCUAUGCAAAGUUAAUCAUUGGAAAAUUUAAUAGGACUUUUGUGCAGAUUAAAGUUAUUCAUUGUGGCAAAGCACUAUGAACUUAGCAAGAAAAACUCUUUUUAGCUAUUUUUUUACAUUAUAUUACUCAAUGUCUACUCUACUCUUACUAUCAUAUCUCCAAUUUUAUAGAGAUAGACCUGCACGUACCCGCAACAACGUGCGUUGUAUCAUCUAGUUUUUCUUUAAAUGAAAAUGUGCUCACAGCUAACUCUCAAACGGCGCCACAGGGUGAAAGGGAGUAACUGUUCGUCUAUAUAUCCAUGCAACAUCUACCGUGACAAUAGACAAUCCCCACGCUCAUGCAUACUUGCAUGCAUUGGUGGAGGAUUGCUACGGCAAACUAAUGCAGGAAGAUUAAGUGGUUGGAUGACUAACAAAACAGUAAUAGCUGGUAUCCAAAGGCCACUUAUAAGCUGAUCUUGAGAGGGGUUUAGGCAUAUAAUUUGACCAACAAAACAUGUAUAUUAUGUCACAAAAAAUAUAUAGUUAAAUCUACAUCUGACAACGAAUUUAAAGACAUGUCUUUUUUAUGGAAUAUCAUACAUGUUUUCCUAGUUAAAUUGAAGACCUAAAGAUCCGUGCCUGACCUAAAACUCCAUUUGUCUCCUCUAAUUGUUUGUCACAUUUUUUUGUCUAUGUGGCAUGCAUCUUAGUAUCUAUAUUAUGUUACUCCCACUAUGAGUAAUCUGACUAGACAACGACCUCAAUGCAUUGUUUCUUAUCUAAAGUGGUGUUACAUUUGACUAAAACAAAGUGGUGUUACAUUUAAUUAGUUUAAAGAUUAUGUAUGCAUCUCAAUAUUGUGACCAAGUUAUAAAGAGAAGUAAAUGAGAGAAAUUAAUUAGGGGAUUAGCCACACCGAAUAAGAGCAUUAAAUAUAUUAUAUAGAAAAAUAUGCCAAGAGCCAUAUCCCCACACAAAGUGGGUUUGUUAGUUGGCUAACAACCCCAAUAUUCAUGGUAAAUAAGUCGUCCGAGCAUUUAGUGGGUUGAAAACAACAGUCAUAAAGUGCAGCAAAAGUGCAACAAUAUUCAUGGUAAAUAUCAAUAACCGAUAGUUUGAUAGCAAGGUAAUUUGUAACGAGCAAGUAAUAGUAAUGGUAACAAAAGUGCAGCAAGGUAGCCAAUCCUUUUUGUAGCAAAGGACAAGCCGGAACGGUCUCCUAUAAUAAGCCAAGCAUUCUUGGGGACAUAAGGGAAUUUCAUCUAGUCACUUUCAUCAUGUUUGUUUGAUUCGCGUUCGCUACUUUGGUAAUUUAAUAUGUUCGUGGACCGGUACUUGGGUGAUGUUCUUACUUGAACAAGCCUCCCACUUAUGAUUAACCCUCUCUCAAGCAUCCGCAAUUACGAAAGAAGAAUUAAGAUAAAUAUAACCAUAACAUUAAACAUAUGGAUCCAAAUUAGCCCCUUACGGAAUAGCGCAUAAACUAGGGUUCAAGAUUCUGUCACUCUAGCAACCCAUCAUCUAAUCACUACUCCACAAUGCAUUCCCUUAGGCCCAAUGGUGGUGAAGUGUCAUGUAGUCGAUGUUCACAUAACACCACUAAGGGAAUCAACAACAUACAUAUCAUCAAAAUAUCGAACGAAUACCAAAUUCACAUGAUUACUUAUGACGAGACUUCUCCCAUUCAUUAAGAAAAAAAGUAACUAAUCACAAAACAUAUUCAUGCUCAAGAUCAAAGGGGUAUUGAAUAGCAUAAUAGAUCUGAACAUAUGAUCUUCCACCAAAUAAACCAACUAGCAUCAACUAUAAAAUGUAAUCAACACUACUAGCAACCCAUAGGUACCAAUUUGAGAUUCUGAUACAAAGAUUGAAUACAAGAGAUGAACUAGGGUUUGAGAUGAGAUGGUGUUGUUGAAGAUGUUAAUGAAGAUUGGCCCUCCCACAAUGAGAGGGUUGUUGGUGAUGAUGACGACUUUGAUUUCCCCCUCCCAGAGGGAAGUAUCCCCAGCGGAAUCGCUCCGCCGAAGUGCAAAAGUGCUCCUGCCCAAGUUCCGCCUCAAGACGGCGGCGCUCCAUCCCGAAAGUCCUCCCCUUAUUUUUUUUCUAGGGAAAAUGGGCCUAUAUACCAGAAGAUGGGCACCGAGGCUGGCCUAAGGCCCCACCACCCACCAGAAGACGCCACGGUCACCACACGCCUGUUCACGGUCUCGACACGCGGGAGCGUGGCAGCACCGGGCAUCGCUGGGAUGACACAGCGAGCAGCCUUGCCACGGUACGGAGCGACGACCUCCUCAACCGUCUGGUCGUCCCAGAUCUCCUGCCGCCGCCUAAUGAUGUGCUUCACCGGUGGCCACGGCCCGUCAUACGCCACCAUCCACGCGUCGUGCUCCUGCAAAAUUUGCGGCGCGCGGCGUACCUCAUGUGCUGCAGCAUCUCCUCCGACAGCCGAUCCUGGUAGAGGCCAAUGACGGGCAUGAAGCCAUGGGUGCCCACUCAGGUAACGGCGGCACCAGGACGCCCGCCAUGCCGAGGCACCAUUGCCCAGCGUUCGGAUGUUUGGUGUUGUGGGUAUGCCAAACACGACGAGCUCCUCUGCCUCCUCUGUGCUCAACUUCAGGCAUGCCAUCGCCGGUGGUGAGAAGGAUCGUGGCGACGAUUUGCGUUGUGCGUGCGGCGAGAGGGAGGGGGGAGAGAGAGAGAGAGAGGGAAUGUGUGGGCGGAGAGGAGGGCACAGGCGGUUUUUAUAGCCGCCGAGGGAGGGCAGUGGCGUGCGCAGGUGAGGCACUAGGGAUUAAUGUGGGCAGUGGCGUGCGCAGGCGAGGCUAUGCGAUGUGUUGGCUUAAUGGCGGCGGGGCAGCACAACCGAGGCAAGGCGACGCGUCACGUUAAUGGUGGCACAUGUGAGGCACAACAACGCAUGCAUGGUGUCAGGACAGGAUUUUUGGGAUAUUAAUUCUCCAGAAAAUGGCCCUUGUGCUCACCAGCCCCAGGAUUACUGUUAGCUGAUGAGGCACCAACUUGAUACAAGAAAUUCCAAGCAAGUACAAAAUAUGUAGUACAAGACCAUUGUGGCCUAUGAGUACAACACUUGGUUUCUAGUGGUUGAUGGCGGAAGCGGUUUGGGGUUCAUCUGCGUCUAUGGGACUCCAUUUCCCACAAGAACAGCUGACCAGGAUAACUCCUAUCUUCGCGAGGCUGCUAUCACCUUUACAUAGGUUCCGGGGCUGUCGUCGUAACGCUCUUCUCCACGCAAGAAAUCUGGCCAAGACAAUAGCCAGGGACAAGCCAGUGAGUAUGUUUGAAUGUACUCGCAAACAUUUAGAACACGGCUAUAAUAUAACAAGGGGUAAUCAUGCUCCGAAAAUAUUCUAUGACCAUAACGUUAGUCACGAGAUAAACAAAAUUCAUGAUGCACGCAUGCAAGUUAUUCAUGUAAAAUGCAUUACGGGAGUAGACAUAGAAUGCAUCGAUCGAGUGUCUGAAGCGACGCCUCGAAAGGAAAAAAAAUCAUGCCUCAGUCGGGCGUCUGAGCGACACCACAUAAAGGGCUUAUAAAUAAAAGAAAUAACAAGCAUGCCACAGUCGGGCGUCUAUGCGACACCACAUAAAGGGCUUAUAAAUAAAAGAAAUAACAAGCAUGCCACAGUCGGGCGUCUAUGCGACACCACAUAAAGGGCUUAUAAAUAAAAGAAAUAACAAGCAUGCCACAGUCGGGCGUCUAUGCGACACCACAUAAAGGGCUUAUAAAUAAAAGAAAUAACAAGCAUGCCACAGUCGGGCGUCUAUGCGACACCACAUAAAGGACUUAUAAAUAAAAGAAAUAACAAGCAUGCCACAGUCGGGCGUCUAUGCGACACCACAUAAAGGGCUUAUAAAGGAUAAUUAAAUAACAAGCAUGCCGCAGUCGGGCGUCUGAGCGACACCACAUAAAGGGCUUAUAAAGGAUAAUCACAGUGAAUAUCCAGGAGGUAGAACCGUCCCAGGGAUACUCAAUAAUUCAAAUAAUGCAAAUGGUUAGUCCAUAAUAAUAGUAAUCAUAAUCGUCACAUGUCACAAGUCAUAAUCCAAGUUCUGGUUUAACAGUUUUUCCUCCGAAGACCGACACUAAGACCGACACUUGACCCAUCCCAAACUGUAGUCCUUAACCAUGGACACGGCUAUUCGAAUAGAGGUAUAAUCUCUGCAGAGGGUGUACUCUUUACCCACGGGUAACGGAUUUCUUUAGUCCGUCGGCACUAAUUCCGUCUACGGUCUUUUAAUUGAAAACACGCCUGACCUGCACACACCAGCUUAACUUACCGGUGUCUGGAAUCACCCACGACACCUGUCAAGCGAAACUCUAAGUGGGGAGGCUACAACCUCGACGUAGCAUGGGAUCACAAAAUUUAUACCGCGCGCAAACUAGGGGAGCUACCCCUUCGGUUACAACCGAAACACCCAUGCCCCCGGACCGGAUGACUGGCUUUAAUCCAUGGCCAUGGGACCCUCAUCACGGCCUCUCUGUACGGUGUGUGCUAGAAAGGGGUUGACAACUUACUGAACCGUACCCUACCUAUGGCAGGGACAAGUGGUAGUACGAAGCAAGUGUGGGGGUUACUGGACAAGACUCGAUCUAAGGCCGACUCAGGAGGUUCAAGUGUUCCCUGCAUGAUUAGCAUAACAAAAAUAUUCCAAUAACAGAUAAGCUUAACACUCAUCAAGCUCCACCAUGCCAUACCGGGCAUACUCGUCUCAACGAGGGACUAGGGACAAGCUCGCGUCUACCCAAGACCGCGACUUUCCCGACUUCCUUCCGGCAUGCAUGAGAAGCUUACGAGGACGAUCACUAUCACCAGCAUAUCCAUUUAUAACAGCAAGGAAAACUCCAUUUUUCACUCAUGCGUAUGAUCUUACCGUCACAUAAAAUAGCGUAUGCUCCAAGUCAAGGUGAUGUUGUAACCGUAUCAACAACAUCCAAAAAUAUUAAGCCAGGGUUCAGAAUGCUUGCCUUCAAGUGUAUGCAUGUGGGGGUGCACUUUUUGAAGGUUGCCUUUUCUCCAAAAUCCUAUUUUGAGAAAUAUUCAAAUAACACACAUUUCAAAUACAGUACAAAAAGUUGUCCCAAAUAUUUUUGAAAUAAAUCUUAAAAUAAACUAGAUGAAAUUUGAGAGAGGUAGGAAAAAGAAUCAGCUCAUUUGGAGUUUUAUUUUAAAAGAUAUAGCCAGUCAAAGUUCUGUUUUUAAUAAAAUCAGAAAAAGAAAACGCUUCGGGGAGAAUACGCUUUCGAAGCAGAGGAGACGUACUCGGGAUUUUGCGCCAUCACUUAACCAGAGUGGAUGGGCGCGCGGGUCGCUGACAGUGGGUCCAGGGGGCCCACUGGUCAGGUUUGACUGGUCUUCCCUCCCUCCUCUCUCUCUGCCCGAACGGUGGCGGGCCUCCGGUGAUCGCCGUCGACGAACGGCGGCUCUUCGAGGGCACCUGAGGGCAGGGAUGGACCCGCCAGACCUGGGCGGUCCUCCCGGUGGUCGUUGGGCAGGUGGGGACGGAGGAAGUCACCGGCGGCGAGCUCCGCGGCGGACGGUGGUUCGGGAGCAAAGAGGGCUUCGGGCUAUGGUGGUCCUUGGUCGAGGCUGAGGCGCUAGGCAGCUCCGCAAGACUGUGGGGAGACGUUUGGUGGCGUUGGAUAGGCGGGGGAGGGUCCGGUUGCGACGCAUGGCACCGAGCUCGGCGGCGGCCGAACUGGCCGGAGACUAGGAAGGAAGCCCUUCCCCAUCGAUUGCUGGCUGCGGGAGUACUAUGGGGGUGUCCUGGGGUUGCCUGAGUGCUCAGAGGAGCUCGGGGCCUCCUUAUAUAGGCGCGACGGGGCUGGCUCCGCGGUGGUGGAUAAGAACGACGGCGAGUCGCCGUUCUGUAGCUGCAGGGCGUCGUGGCGGCGACGAGCGCGAGCCGACGAGCAUGUGGAUAGGAUCGGGCUGUUCCCAGGGGGCAGCUGGCGCGCGCGGGUGGCUUGGGCCGCGCCGUCCAUGGCAGAGCCCGCUGCCGACGCCGGCGUGCCGCCAAGGAAGCUCUGACGGCGGCGCUGUAGGGCGCCAGGGAGGCUUGGAGGUUUCUGACGAGUGGGCGAGUGCAUGGCGCGGCUCUGCAGGCGAGCAAGGGCCAGGGGUGUGACGCGGCGACCCGUGCGCACGCACGUGCAAAACGCGUGCUCUGGCCGCGCCCAGAGCACGCACACCAGGUGUUCGACGAAAAGCCAGCGCGCUCUAGAGAGCUUGGGUGAUGCGGGUAGUCAACAGGCCAGGGUUAGGGAUAGCUAGGAGGUUUGUGGACAUGCUGGAUGGGUCAGGGGCUCAAGUCCACAAUGCAAACUAGAAGACCUGCCAAAACUGUUCCUGCACACAGGGUGUUCUACAGAAUGCCAUGGGCAUCUAGGCAACUCUUGGGGUGGCCAAACUCUCCAGAUCCUAGUCUCUUUAGGAGCUCAAGAAGGUGGUAAGGUUAGUUUGGCAAAAACAGGAACUUGUUAGUGCAAGUUUUGAGAAAAUCAGUUUUGGGCAGAAACUAAAGGCUAUCAUUGCAUGCACUAAACAUACUCCAAUGGGUCCAAUCUCCUGGACUUAAGUGUUUGGUAGGGAGGACUAUAAGUAGGGAAAAAGCUGAUGGGUACUAGAGCAAAAUAAAAUGGGGUUGCAGUACAAAUCACCAAACUGGACCAGAAUGGAAAUGAAGAUGUUUCACUCAAAUCUUUCAUAGAACAACACUGGGUUUUUGCAUGAAGUUGCAUUAUGAGCAUCUACUGACAUCUCCAAACCCUUGGAAGAAUUUUUAGAAGAAUAUUUAAAUAGGUUGUAGUGCAAAAAUACCUACUGGACCAGAUUUGAAAAAAUUGAUGUAGAGCUCAAAUCUCCAAUAACCCAAAGAUAUUUUUGCAUAAAAGUGAUGUGGAAGCCUCACAUGACCUCCCCAAAUUUUGGUGAAAAUUUUAAAUGUAUUUAUCAAAAGGUUGCAGUGAAAAAGGGGCUCCAAAUUUAUGAAAGAUCAUUUUAAAAGAAUCAAGCUCAUGAAAAACAAUUAUGCAAAUAAAUCCACUGAUAAAGAAUUGUUUUUAUAAAGAGUGCAUACAAGUCCAAUAAUACUUUUGAAGAGUUUCCACUAAAGGUAAAAACCCACGAUAUUAAAGAGAAGAGGGGUUCUGAAAUCAAAGGAGAAAUCCAGAAAAAUAAAAAUUUAAUUUCCUGGCAAAAUUUUAAUUAAUAAAACAAGGUCAAAUUUUUGGGGUGUUACAACACUACCCCCCUUAAGAAAAAUCUCGUCCUCGAGAUUUGCUAAGGGUUGUUUUUUUUAAAUAAUACUCCCAUUAGUUGAAACCAAGAGUUUGCUCAUAGCACGAAUUUAGGGUACAAACAUAAGCUGCAACACACAAAUAAACAUAGCUAUGAUGUUUAUAAUGAAAAUGGCAAAAGGACAGGGUCCUGAGAAAACGUCUUUGGUACUGGGGCGCACAAGCAGACAUCCUUUAAUAAUGGUGAUACAGGAUCACACAAUUACAAGGCGUAGAAAAUAAUAAGGCUCGUUACUACUCGAGUGACUUAGUCUACUCCGUUAAUAUCUAAGCGGGCUUGCCUAGUGGACGAUGAAGCUUCUCCACGGGUUUCACCGUCGGGAUUAGCCGGAUGAGGUUGCGUGGCUGCUGGGUCGGGGUAGCGAUGAUGACCAUCGCGGGGGUUGUUGGCCACAACCCCGUUGGAGUGUGUUCCCAAAAGGCAGCGAAGCACUUCUGGGGACAUCAAAGUAUUUUGGUCGAUGGCUGGGGCAGACCUCAAGGGCUCGAUUGGGUGUCCGAACAGCACGACUGGGUUGUCGGCGUCGGGCUCCACUUCUCCUCUCGCCGAGGCUCGGCGAAACAGUUCUCCACGAGCUGCGAUCAGAUCAAGAGUGAUUUGAUCGAACAGCUCCUCUAGUGCACUUACAUAGCGCACCAGAUGCAAUAGUGCAGGAUCUGUCUCAUGAUCUCCGUUGGCAACCUGGGGUGGCCUACCAUACCCGUUACGACUGGGGUAGUAGUAGAACGAGCGACAGUUAACUCUGGGCGACAAGUGCCGGAGUUGAACUAUAGCUUCUCGAGCUGCCAGUUGGAUGGCUUGUGGCUCAAAGGAAGUGGUCCUUCCAGUGAACCUGUAGGGGCGUUCUGGCGAUAGACCCCUACCAUAAAUGUGUACAGUGGCCCAGAACUGACGGCUCUCACCGCCCAUGAGUUCUUGGUACACAACAUAUUCUGGGGGCUCUCCUAAUGCAUAGGCACGGCGAGUGAGGUUUGCGAGCACGGUCACAAAACCUCCAAGGUUGGUUGAUGUGGUCUCAUUGUGAACAAUGGGGCCAGGCAUCGUGACUUGGCUUGGGAAAGAGGCUGUGCUGUGCUGGGUUGAGGCUAGCGUGCCCUUUUUAUAGAAAAAGGGGCGGAGUCUUCCUUCGCACGCUUGCGAAUGAGACAAGUUAGGUGUCGGUCACUGGCGCGUGAUCGACAGGCUAAGCUGAUAGGUUGGGCACCGACUGCCAAAAGCGUCGGGGUCACUGUGUGGCUAUCUUACACGAGAAGCUUGGCCGGGGUUAGGUUAAGGUCUGGUGGGUUGGUUAACCUAGGUUUAUUGCCCUGGCUAAGAUAGGGUUAGCCAAUGGUCAGCCUGGUUCUGAUACCAAGUCUGUCAGGACCGGAUUUUUGGGAUAUUAAUUCUCCAGAAAAUGGCCCUUGUGCUCACCAGCCCCAGGAUUACUGUUAGCUGAUGAGGCACCAACUUGAUACAAGAAAUUCCAAGCAAGUACAAAAUAUGUAGUACAAGACCAUUGUGGCCUAUGAGUACAACACUUGGUUUCUAGUGGUUGAUGGCGGAAGCGGUUUGGGGUUCAUCUGCGUCUAUGGGACUCCAUUUCCCACAAGAACAGCUGACCAGGAUAACUCCUAUCUUCGCGAGGCUGCUAUCACCUUUACAUGGGUUCCGGGGCUGUCGUCGUAACGCUCUUCUCCACGCAAGAAAUCUGGCCAAGACAAUAGCCAGGGACAAGCCAGUGAGUAUGUUUGAAUGUACUCGCAAACAUUUAGAACAUGGCUAUAAUAUAACAAGGGGUAAUCAUGCUCCGAAAAUAUUCUAUGACCAUAACGUUAGUCACGAGAUAAACAAAAUUCAUGAUGCACACAUGCAAGUUAUUCAUGUAAAAUGCAUUACGGGAGUAGACAUAGAAUGCAUCGAUCGAGUGUCUGAAGCGACGCCUCGAAAGGAAAAAAAUCAUGCCUCAGUCGGGCGUCUGAGCGACACCACAUAAAGGGCUUAUAAAUAAAAGAAAUAACAAGCAUGCCACAGUCGGGCGUCUAUGCGACACCACAUAAAGGGCUUAUAAAUAAAAGAAAUAACAAGCAUGCCACAGUCGGGCGUCUAUGCGACACCACAUAAAGGGCUUAUAAAUAAAAGAAAUAACAAGCAUGCCAAAGUCGGGCGUCUAAGCGACACCACAUAAAGGGGUUAUAAAGGAUAAUCACAGUGAAUAUCCAGGAGGUAGAACCGUCCCAGGGAUACUCAAUNNNNNNNNNNAUAGAAUGCACCGAUCGAGUGUCUGAAGUGACGCCUCGAAAGGAUAAAAAAAUAAAUUAUGCCACAGUCGGGCGUCUAUGCGACACCACAUAAAGGGCUUAUAAAUAAAAGAAAUAACAAGCAUGCCACAGUCGGGCGUCUAUGCGACACCACAUAAAGGGCUUAUAAAUAAAAGAAAUAACAAGCAUGCCACAGUCGGGCGUCUAUGCGACACCACAUAAAGGACUUAUAAAUAAAAGAAAUAACAAACGUGCCACAUUCGGGCGUCUGAGCGAAACCACAUAAAGGGCUUAUAAAUAAAAGAAAUAACGAGCAUGCCACAGUCGGGCGUCUAUGCGACACCACAUAAAGGGCUUAUAAAAGAAUAAUCGCAGNNNNNNNNNNAAAGAAAUAACAAGCAUGCCACAGUCGGGCGUCUAUGCGACACCACAUAAAGGGCUUAUAAAUAAAAGAAAUAACAAGCAUGCCACAGUCGGGCGUCUAUGCGACACCACAUAAAGGACUUAUAAAUAAAAGAAAUAACAAGCAUGCCACAGUCGGGCGUCUAUGCGACACCACAUAAAGGGCUUAUAAAGGAUAAUUAAAUAACAAGCAUGCCGCAGUCGGGCGUCUGAGCGACACCACAUAAAGGGCUUAUAAAGGAUAAUCACAGUGAAUAUCCAGGAGGUAGAACCGUCCCAGGGAUACUCAAUAAUUCAAAUAAUGCAAAUGGUUAGUCCAUAAUAAUAGUAAUCAUAAUCGUCACAUGUCACAAGUCAUAAUCCAAGUUCUGGUUUAACAGUUUUUCCUCCGAAGACCGACACUAAGACCGACACUUGACCCAUCCCAAACUGUAGUCCUUAACCAUGGACACGGCUAUUCGAAUAGAGGUAUAAUCUCUGCAGAGGGUGUACUCUUUACCCACGGGUAACGGAUUUCUUUAGUCCGUCGGCACUAAUUCCGUCUACGGUCUUUUAAUUGAAAACACGCCUGACCUGCACACACCAGCUUAACUUACCGGUGUCUGGAAUCACCCACGACACCUGUCAAGCGAAACUCUAAGUGGGGAGGCUACAACCUCGACGUAGCAUGGGAUCACAAAAUUUAUACCGCGCGCAAACUAGGGGAGCUACCCCUUCGGUUACAACCGAAACACCCAUGCCCCCGGACCGGAUGACUGGCUUUAAUCCAUGGCCAUGGGACCCUCAUCACGGCCUCUCUGUACGGUGUGUGCUAGAAAGGGGUUGACAACUUACUGAACCGUACCCUACCUAUGGCAGGGACAAGUGGUAGUACGAAGCAAGUGUGGGGGUUACUGGACAAGACUCGAUCUAAGGCCGACUCAGGAGGUUCAAGUGUUCCCUGCAUGAUUAGCAUAACAAAAAUAUUUCCAAUAACAGAUAAGCUUAACACUCAUCAAGCUCCACCAUGCCAUACCGGACAUACUCGUCUCAACGAGGGACUAGGGACAAGCUCGCGUCUACCCAAGACCGCGACUUUCCCGACUUCCUUCCGGCAUGCAUGAGAAGCUUACGAGGACGAUCACUAUCACCAGCAUAUCCAUUUAUAACAGCAAGGAAAACUCCAUUUUUCACUCAUGCGUAUGAUCUUACCGUCACAUAAAAUAGCGUAUGCUCCAAGUCAAGGUGAUGUUGUAACCGUAUCAACAACAUCCAAAAAUAUUAAGCCAGGGUUCAGAAUUCUUGCCUUCAAGUGUAUGCAUGUGGGGGUGCACUUUUUUAAGGUUGCCUUUUCUCCAAAAUCCUAUUUUGAGAAAUAUUCAAAUAACACACAUUUCAAAUACAGUACAAAAAGUUGUCCCAAAUAUUUUUGAAAUAAAUCUUAAAAUAAACUAGAUGAAAUUUGAGAGAGGUAGGAAAAAGAAUCAACUCAUUUGGAGUUUUAUUUUAAAAGAUAUAGCCAGUCAAAGAUCAGUCAAAGUUCUGUUUUUAAUAAAAUCAGAAAAAGAAAACGCUUCGGGGAGAAUACGCUUUCGAAGCAGAGGAGACGUACUCGGGAUUUUGCGCCAUCACUUAACCAGAGUGGAUGGGCGCGCGGGUCGCUGACAGUGGGUCCAGGGGGCCCACUGGUCAGGUUUGACUGGUCUUCCCUCCCUCCUCUCUCUCUGCCCGAACGGUGGCGGGCCUCCGGCGAUCACUGUCGAUGAACGGCGGCUCUUCGAGGGCACCUGAGGGCAGGGAUGGACCCGCCAGACCUGGGCGGUCCUCCCGGUGGUCGUUGGGCAGGUGGGGACGGAGGAAGUCACCGGCGGCGAGCUCCGCGGCGGACGGUGGUUCGGGAGCAAAGAGGGCUUCGGGCUAUGGUGGUCCUUGGUCGAGGCUGAGGCGCUAGGCAGCUCCGCAAGACUGUGGGGAGACGUUUGGUGGCGUUGGAUAGGCGGGGGAGGGUCCGGUUGCGAUGCACGGCACCGGAGCUCGGCGGCGGCCGAACUGGCCGGAGACUAGGAAGGAAGCCCUUCCCCAUCGAUUGUUGCCUGCGGGAGUACUAUGGGGGUGUCCUGGGGUUGCCUGAGUGCUCGGAGGAGCUCGGGGCCUCCUUAUAUAGGCGCGACGGGGCUGGCUCCGCGGUGGUGGAUAAGAACGACGGCGAGUCACCGUUCUGUAGCUGCAGGGCGUCGUGGCGGCGACGAGCGCGUGCCGACGAGCAUGUGGAUAGGCUCGGGCUGUUCCCAGGGGGCAGCUGGCGCGCGCGGGUGGCUUGGGCGGCGCCGUCCAUGGCAGAGACCGCUGCUGACGCCGGCGUGCCGCCAAGGAAGCUCUGACGGCGGCGUUGUAGGGCGCCAGGGAGGCUUGGAGGUUUCUGGCGAGUGGGCGAGUGCAUGGCGCGGCUCUGCAGGCGAGCAAGGGCCAGGGGUGCGACGCGGCGACCCGUGCGCACGCACGUGCAAAACGCGCGCUCUGGCUGCGCCCAGAGCACGCACACCAGGUGUUCGACGAAAAGCCAGCGCGCUCUAGAGAGCUUGGGUUAUGCGGGUAGUCAACAGGCCAGGGUUAGGGAUAGCUAGGAGGUUAGUGGACAUGCUGGAUGGGUCAGGGGCUCAAGUCCACAAUGCAAACUAGAAGACCUGCCAAAACUGUUCCUGCACACAGGGUGUUCGACAGAAUGCCAUGGGAAUCUAGGCAACUCUUGGGGUGGCCAAACUCUCCAGAUCCUAGUCUCUUUAGGAGCUCAAGAAGGUGGUAAGGUUAGUUUAGCAAAAACAGGAACUUGUUAGUGCAAGUUUUGAGAAAAUCAGUUUUGGGCAGAAACUAAAGGCUAUCAUUGCAUGCACUAAACAUACUCCAAUGGGUCCAAUCUCCUGGACUUAAGUGUUUGGUAGAGAGGACUAUAAGUAGGGAAAAAGCUCAUGGUACUAGAGCAAAAUAAAAUGGGGUUGCAGUACAAAUCACCAAACUGGACCAGAAUGGAAAUGAAGAUGUUUCACUCAAAUCUUUCAUAGAACAACACUGGGUUUUUGCAUGAAGUUGCAUUAUGAGCAUCUACUGACAUCUCCAAACCCUUGGAAGAAUUUUUAGAAGAAUAUUUAAAUAGGUUGUAGUGCAAAAAUACCUACUGGACCAGAUUUGAAAAAAAAUUGAUGUAGAGCUCAAAAUCUCCAAUAACCCAAAGAUAUUUUUGCAUAAAAGUGAUGUGGAAGCCUCACAUGACCUCCCCAAAUUUUGGUGAAAAUUUUAAAUGUAUUUAUCAAAAGGUUGCAGUGAAAAAGGGGCUCCAAAUUUAUGAAAGAUCAUUUUAAAAGAAUCAAGCUCAUGAAAAACAAUUAUGCAAAUAAAUCCACUGAUAAAGAAUUGUUUUUAUAAAGAGGGCAUACAAGUCCAAUAAUACUUUUGAAGAGUUUCCACUAAAGGUAAAAACCCACGAUAUUAAAGAGAAGAGGGGUUCUGAAAUCAAAGGAGAAAUCCAGAAAAAUAAAAAUUUAAUUUCCUGGCAAAAUUUUAAUUAAUAAAACAAGGUCAAAUUUUUGGGGUGUUACACAUGGCCCUUGGGCACCGCGUUUGACGGGUUGAACCCCAUGUAAUGGCAACACAUGCUGUAAAACAUGUAUGUUGGGAAACUGCUCGACACCCUAAAUGGGGUGUAGCUAUCUCAUAUAUAUAGAGGUACCGAAAGGUACAAUACAAGGUGUAUACAGAAUCUAUGUAUAUACAGUCUAACACCCUCCCUCAAUCUUAACUAUGGCCUGAAGUACAAAGUAAGUUAAGAUUGCGCCUACAACCUACAAACUCUGGUUGUGGAAGAGGCUUCGUGAAGAUGUCAGCAAGUUGAUCUUUUGAGGAGAUGAACUUGAUACAGAGUAGCUUCUGUGCAGUGCGUUCCCGAACAAAGUGACAGUCAACCUCGAUGUGUUUCGUUCGAGCAUGGAACACUGGAUUAGAUGAAAGGUAUGUAGCACCGAUGUUGUCACACCAAAGAACUGGAGGUUGACCUGGAGAGACCAACUCUCUCAAUAAGGACUGUACCCAUAUGAUCUCAGUAGUCGCAUCAGCAACUGCCUUAUACUCAGCCUCAGUACUGCUGCGAGAUACUAUAGCUUGCUUGCGAACAUUCCAGGCGAUCAAGUUAGGACCAAAGAAUACUGCAUAGCCCCCCGUGGAUCACCUAUCAUCAAGACUACCAGCCCAAUCCGCGUCUGAAAAGGCCGAGAGCUCACAAGAUGGGGCAGGUUGAAGAAGCAAACCAUACGAGGCAGUGAGACAGAUAUAACGCAGUAUACGCUUCACAACUGACCAAUGAGAUGUCCUGGGCGCAUGAAGAUACUGACACACACGGUUGACUGCAUAAGAGACAUCUGGUCUGGUGAUAGUGAGGUAUUGCAGACCACCAACGAGACUGCGGUACUCAGUAGCAUCAGCAGGUGAAAGAGGAUCUCCAUCAAGAGCAGACAGCCGAUCAGUCACAGACAUCGGAGUGAUAGCGUGUUUGCAUUUCAGCAUUCCAGCAUGAUGCAACAAGUCCAAAGAAUACUUCUUCUGAGUAAGAGUCAAUCCAGCAAAAGACCGUGAGACCUCCAAACCAAGGAAGUAGUGCAGAGCACCUAAAUCCUUGACAGCAAAAUCACCGAUCAAUGCAGUCACAAGACGAUCAGCAGCAGCAUCUGAGGAACUGACAAGGAUGAUAUCAUCAACAUAAACCAGUAGGUAGAUCGUAAACUCAUGACGCUGAAGGAGAAACAGGGACGUGUCAGCAGUGGAGGGAAUAAACCCAAGAUCCCGGAGAACAGAGACGAGGCGCGCAUGCCACACACGAGGAGCCUGUUUAAGUCCAUACAGUGCCUUAACAAGACGACAGAGAUGACGAGGACGGGCAGGAUCAACAAAACUUGGGGGCUGACACAUAUAAACCUCCUCCUCCAUGAUUCCAUGUAGGAAAGCAUUCUGCACAUUGAGCUGACGAAGAAAACACCCUCGAGUAACAGCAAGAGACAGCAGCAAACGAAUGGUAGUAGGCUUGAUAACUGGACUGAACGUGUCUUCGUAAUCAAGACCAUACCUCUGUUUGAAGCCCUUGGCAACUAGUCGUGCCUUGUAGCAUUCAAUAGAACCGUCGGCGUGUUUCUUAACUUUAAAGACCCACUUGGAAUCAAUGACGUUGACACCAGAAACUGGAGGAACAAGAUGCCAAGUAUCAUUCUUCAGUAAAGCCUGAAAUUCUUGUUCCAUCACAGCGCGCCAGUGAGGAAUGCCCAGUGCAGCCUCAAAGUGACGAGGCUCGGCCAUGGGAUCAGCAACAGCAUGAGCCAUGCAAGCACCAAGCCACGUAACAGUCUCGUCUUUGCGUUCCUUCGGACGAAAAAUGCCAAACUGGCUGCGUGUGCGCGGACGAAGAGCAACCGCGGCAGGCGGCGCCGGCAACGCUGAGCUCGACUCAGGCAAUAGAGGCAAGGCCGAGCCUGGUGCAGUUGACACAGAAGCCGGCGAGCUUGUGCCAGAGACCCCUGGCGUCAGGGAGGCGGGCGGCGUCCGGCCCGGUGAGACCUGCCCACUGGGAGUCGAGGCGGGGCUGGCCAGAUCAGGCGCCGGUGCAAGCGAAAUGGCCACUGGGCCGGGCGAGGUGGCUACCAGGCCAGGGAAAGCGGCCACCGGGCCGAGCGAGGCCGGCGCCCGCGGGGCAGCUGCAGGUGAAACCUCCACGGGCGUGACAGCAGUGGGCUGACGGGCGCAACCCGUCAUGCAUGGCUCAUGCACGGGAUCAACGUCCCGAACCUGAGCGUCGUUCGUCGCCUGAUCAUCGAGGAGCUCAAGGCGAGCGCCGCGUCCGAUACCUGCAGCAUGAUUAGGAAGCAGCGCAGGAGCAUAUGCAACAUGCACAAAUUGAUCAGGCAAAGGUAUAGCUGAGUGCACAGGUGGUGUAGGAGUGGUAGAGUUGUUCGGAAGUGCAUGAAAAGGGAACACAUUCUCAUCAAACACGACGUCACGAGAUAUGUAAACACGAUUGGUGGGAACAUGCAGGCACUUGUACCCUUUAUGGAGGGAACUAUACCCAAGAAACACACACUUUUUAGACCGAAACUCUAGCUUACGCUUGUUAUACGGACGCAGGUGAGGCCAACAUGUACACCCAAACACUUUUAGGAACGUGUAGUCUGGGAUUUCGUUGAGCAAGAGUUCAAUCCGAGUUUUCAUUUUCAGAAGUCGUGAGGGAAGCCUAUUUAUCAAGAAACUGGCUGUGGAAAAAGCAUCACUCCAAAACUGAAAUGGAACGGAGGCAUGAGCUAGUCAGGUAAGGCCAGUUUCUACAAGAUGACGAUGCUUNNNNNNNNNNNNNNNNNNNNNNNNNNNNNNNNNNNNNNNNNNNNNNNNNNNNNNNNNNNNNNNNNNNNNNNNNNNNNNNNNNNNNNNNNNNNNNNNNNNNNNNNNNNNNNNNNNNNNNNNNNNNNNNNNNNNNNNNNNNNNNNNNNNNNNNNNNNNNNNNNNNNNNNNNNNNNNNNNNNNNNNNNNNNNNNNNNNNNNNNNNNNNNNNNNNNNNNNNNNNNNNNNNNNNNNNNNNNNNNNNNNNNNNNNNNNNNNNNNNNNNNNNNNNNNNNNNNNNNNNNNNNNNNNNNNNNNNNNNNNNNNNNNNNNNNNNNNNNNNNNNNNNNNNNNNNNNNNNNNNNNNNNNNNNNNNNNNNNNNNNNNNNNNNNNNNNNNNNNNNNNNNNNNNNNNNNNNNNNNNNNNNNNNNNNNNNNNNNNNNNNNNNNNNNNNNNNNNNNNNNNNNNNNNNNNNNNNNNNNNNNNNNNNAUCAAACACAUCAGAUUUACGCUUAAUAAGAUACAGCCAAGUAAACCGACUAUAAGCAUCAAUAAAGCUGACAUAAUAAUUGUGGCCACUAACGGAAGUUUGGGCAUGACCCCAUACAUCAGAAAACACAAGCUCAAGAGGAUGUUUCACAACACGACUAGACUCUGAAAAAGGAAGUUGGUGACUCUUGCCUUGCUGACAGGCAUCACAGAUAGUUUCAGCAAUUUUAUUGGACACAACUGGUAGUUCAUGACGAUGCAGCACGUGACGAACUAUAGGAGCAGCAGGGUGACCAAGGCGCACAUGCCAGUGCGUAGGCGACACACGAACACUGCUAAACGCCCAGGGACAAAACUGCAUAGGAGGUGCGGGCGAUGCGUCAAGUGCAUACAGGCCAUGGCGAAGACGACCGCUAAGCAGAACGACCCUCGUGUCUCGAUCCUUGAUGAAGAAACGAAAAGGAUGAAACUCAGCAAGGACAUUAUUAUCACGAGUAAGUUGAGGAAUAGAUAACAAACUACGCGUAGCAGAUGGAACUCGAAGAACAUUGGAAAGAUGCAGUUUUUAAAAGUUGUGUGCAAGAAGUGAGGCCUGACCAACGUGUGAGAUUGAUACGUCUCCAACGUAUCUAUAAUUUUUUAUUGUUCCAUGCUAUUAUAUUAUCCUUCUAGGAUGUUUUAUAUGCAUUUAUAUGCUAUUUUAUAUGAUUUUUGGGACUAACCUAUUAACCUAGAGCCGAGUGCCAGUUUCUGUUUUUUCCUUGUUUUUGAGUAUCGCAGAAAAGGAAAACCAAACGGAGUCCAAUUGACCUGAAACUUCACGGAACUUAUUUUUGGACCAGAAGAAGGCCAUGGAGUAAAAGAGUUGGGCCAGAAGAGUCUCGGGCUGCCCACGAGGGUGGGGGGCGCGCCCACCCCCUGGGCGCGCCUCCCUACCUCGUGGACAGCCCGGAGACCCCCCUGACUUGCUCUCGACGCCAAAACCUCUUAUAUAUACAGAAACCCCCAGAACAUAACCUAGAUUGGGAGUUCCGCCGCCGCAAGCCUCUGUAGCCACCGAAAACCAAUCUAGACCCGUUCCGGCACCCUCCCGGAGGGGGGAUCCAUCACCGGUGGCCAUCUUCAUCAUCCCGGCGUUCUCCAUGACGAGGAGGGAGUAGUUCACCCUCGGGGCCGAGGGUAUGUACCAGUAGCCAUGUGUUUGACCUCUCUCUCUCUCGUGUUCUUGAGGUGGCACGAUCUUGAUGUAUCGCGAGCUUUGCUAUUAUAGUUGGAUCUUAUGAUGUUUCUCCCCCUCUACUCUCUUGUAAUGGAUUGAGUUUUCCCUUCAAAGUUAUCUUAUUGGAUUGAAUAUUUAAGGAUUUGAGAACACUUGAUGUAUGUCUUGCGUGGGAUGCCCGUGGUGACAAUGGGGUAUUCUAUUGAUUCACUUGAUUUAUGUUUUGGUGAUCAACUUGCGGGUUCAGUGACCUUGUGAACUUAUGCAUAGGGGUUGGCACACGUUUUCGUCUUGACUCUCUGGUAGAAACUUUGGGGCACUCUUUGAAGUUCUUUGUGUUGGUUGAAUAGAUGAAUCUGAGAUUGUGUGAUGCAUAUCGUAUAAUCAUACCCACGGAUACUUGAGGUGACAUUGGAGUAUCUAGGUGACAUUAGGGUUUUGGUUGAUUUGUGUCUUAAGGUGUUAUUCUAGUACGAACUCUAUGAUAGAUCGAACGAAAAGAAUAGCUUCGUUUUAUUUUACUACGGACUCUUGAAUAGAUCGAUCAGAAAGGAUAACUUUGAGGUGGUUUCGUACCCUACCAUAAUCUCUUCGUUUGUUCUCUGCUAUUAGUGACUUUGGAGUGACUCUUUGUUGCAUGUUGAGGGAUAGUUAUAUGAUCCAAUUAUGUUAUUAUUGUUGAGAGAACUUGUAGUGAAAGUAUGAACCCUAGGCCUUGUUUCAAUGCAUUGCAAUACCGUUUAUGCUCACUUUUGUCAUUAAUUACCUUGCUGUUUUUAUAUUUUUUCAGAUUACAAAAACCUAUAUCUACCAUCCAUAUUGCACUUGUAUCACCAUCUCUUCACCGAACUAGUGCACCUAUACAAUUUACCAUUGUAUUGGGUGUGUUGGGGACACAAGAGACUCUUUGUUAUUUGGUUGCAGGGUUGUUUGAGAGAGACCAUCUUCAUCCUACGCCUCCCACGGAUUGAUAAACCUUAGGUCAUCCACUUGAGGGAAAUUUGCUACUGUCCUACAAACCUCUGCACUUGGAGGCCCAACAACGUCUAUAAGAAGAAGGUUGUGUAGUAGACAUCAGAGAUGCGCAUACCUGCUCCAUUGGUGGUGUGCACCUGAUCAUGACCACAAUAUUGCUCCUGGGUGGAGAGCUUGCCCAUCUCGCUGGUGAGGUGGUUGGUAGCUCCUGUGUCCAUAUACCACGUAGGAUCGAUGGAGUAGGACGGAGUGUGCCCGUGCUCAUGACUCGUCACCGCAGCGGCAGCCUGCUUGUCAGUCCCUUUGCCGUUGUUGCCCAGACCAAGGAAAUCUUGCUUGAAGCGUCGAUGACAGCGAGAGGCAAUAUGGCGUUCAAUGCCACACAGCUGGCAAGCCUGCUGAGCACCGCAGUAGGGACAGCAAGUGAGCGGGCGACUGCUGCCGGUAAUGGAUGGCGCGGCCCCCCGCAGAGCCUGCUAUGGUGAGGACGUCGAUUUGCCACCGGGCGGAGACAGCUUCCGAGGUUUGCCGCGGGUCGCGACAUUGGCAGAAACGAAGCUCGGGCGGCACGACGCGCCUUGAUGCGCUGUUCGCGGCCGAGGAGGCGCGCAUAGAGCUCACGUGGCUGAAGUGGAGCGUCGCGACCAUGGACGUUCUCAAUGAGAUUAUCAUAGUCAUCAUCAAGACCAUUGAGGACGUGGGUGGUGAAGUCCUCGGGGCCAAGUGGCUGGCCGACGGAGGCCAAUGUGUCGGCGAGACCGGUCAUCUUGUUGAAGUUGUCUGUGAUGCUAAGACUGUCAAGCUUGGUUUCCCUCAGCUCAGUGCGUAUAGAAUGAGCACGCGCUUGAGAUUGAGAGGCGAAGCUGGUGUGAAGCGCCGUCCAUGCAUCCCGAGAUGUCGCGGCAAAGAUGACCAGCGACGAAACGCUCAGAUUGAGCAAAGACUGGAUGGCGGAGAGGAUUGCCUGAUCCUGGGCCACCCACAUGUGAUAUGCCGGAUGAUACGGCGGCGGGCACGGGAUGGAGCCGUCAACGUAUCCCUCCAAGUAGCGGCUCCUGAGGAGAGGCAGCACCUGAGCACGCCACGACAAGUAGUUGUCCGACGUAAGCUUCACCGGAAGAAGGUGCGAGAAGUAAAACGGCGACGGCGCCACAGCAUGAUCAGCGUGAGCCUGCGCCGGGGGCGCGUAGAGGCCCAUCGAUGGGGCCGUCUUCGGGUGAGCAGCGAUCACCGGGGAGGUGCCAUGGCCAGGCACGACACCAUUGUACGGCGAGGAUGGGUAGGCGCCAUGAGGAGCAGCAGUUAGGGCACUGCGGGUAGAGGCGAUUGGGGCCCCAGGAGGCGCCGUAGGCUCGGCCCCGUAGGGCAGCGAAGGCGGCGGCGCCGCGUAGGGUUGCGGCGGCGGCGCCGCGUAGGGUUGUGGGGGCGGCGCACCAUAGGGAGGCAGCGGCCAGGCAAACGGCGGCGGUGGCAUGGCACCAUACGCCGAGGCAGGGGCACCAUACAGCGGUGCGGGGACGCCAUACGGCGGCGGGGCAUCGUAGAUCGGUGCAGGUGGGGCGCCGUACGCGGGCGGAGGACCGCGGUAGGGCGUCGGUGCAGCAACGUCGGUCGAGGAGGACGGACCACCGAAGGAGACCGACGGAGGCAGAUCGCCCGGUGCGCCCGAUCCGAUCGGGGAGCCAGGAGGGGCACCAACAGGGGACUGGGCUUGCCACUAAGCCGCGGCAAGGGGCCGAGAGGCGAGGAAGGGCGACGAACGGGCGAUGGCAGGAGCCGGCGCAGCGAUGGCGACGGCAGGAGCCGGCGCAACGGCGGCGGCGGGGGCAGCGGAAGGCAUCGUAACAUAAUCUGAUACCAUGUAAAACAUGUAUGUUGGGAAACUGCUCGACACCCUAAACGGGGUGUGACUAUCUCAUAUAUAUAGAGGUGCCAAAAGGUACAAUACAAGGUGUAUAUAGAAUCUACGUAUAUAGUCUAACACAGGCGAGGUGCAGCGGCGCGUGCAUGGGCCUAGGAUGCCACGUUAAACACCCACAUACGACAAAUGUAUACAUGUAUAGAGGGCGCAUAUCUGCGUGCUCCACGGCUACUUGGGUCGACGACUUUUUUAAUAGAAAACCAUCCUAUCAUUUGUUAUGAAGGGGUAUGGGCAGAUAUGGUAUAUCGAUGUAUUUAGCAGGGUUGUAUUGAAAAAGAAGUGUUAUAUGCGACCUUUGUUGACAAUCAUUUUUUAUGGUAAUCUACCUUGUGAAUUAUUAUCCUUAUUUUUCACAAUUGUUAAAUUAUCCACUAUUUGUGAGCCUAUUUUGUUAUCAUUCUUCCCUCUUGCUCAUCGCCUUAUACUGAGUGAAAUAUAAGGACAAAGAUAGGGAUUGAAGGCUGACUGACAUUUACUAAAAUGGGAGAACUUUAAAAUGUUUUUCAUUGGACUCGGUUCAACUAGUCCUCAAGGUACGCCAUAUACACUGAUACUUCCUCCGUCCGAAAAUACUUUCAUCAAAAUGGAUAAAAAGAUAUGUAUCUAAAACCAAUAUAUAUCUAGAUACAUCACAUUUUAUUUAUUUUGAUAAUAAGUAUUUCCGGACGGAGGGAGUAGUAGAUAACAGUAGCUCCAGAAGUAAGAUUAGACCACAAGCCGGUAGCCGAGCUCUACUUGAUUUUAUUUGUAACGAAAAUAGAUAGCUUCAUUCGUACCCUAGCCAUAUAUAGCUAGUUACAGUCACAGGAGGCGGACGCGACUGUCAUCGGGUAGGGAAAGGAGUUGCCGUACUGGAACGACACAGGGAAGCUGGGCUCGAUGGACCCGCCGCCAUUGACGAGGCAGUCGUUGAAACCGAGGCGGCGGAACUUGUCUGGGUCGAU
rnacentral:lncRNA from 1 species